UGUAUUUCCUCCUCCUCAUUAAAGGACUUAGAGUUCCUGAUUUAACUUCUCUGGCAUUUUGCUUUUUGAUAUUUUCUAGCGUUACUUUCCCCUUGGUUUUCUCCAAAAUGAACUAAGGACUCAAAAACCUUAAUUCUGUUGCUGGUGUCACUAAUGAAUAAUUCAGUAUGUUGGUUUAGAACGGCACUAAAGCUUUCUUAGUUUUCAAAAUAAAAUCAGAAAACUUAUCAUUGGAAGACCUUGAUCCUGUGCUCCUCAACCUGACACAUUCUGCAAAGGCAUGCAAUGAUAAUUUAUUUCUAUCAUCACUGGAGCUGAGGGAAAAGCCACAACAACUACAUUUUUCUUGAAGGCAAAUCACACACAAGAUUGCAGGUCAAGGGAAUGAAAAGGGGUGGGGGUGUGGAUCUUGCAAAAGCUGAGCUUCCCACCCCCUCCCACGGUCUCUGGGAGGUGACUUUAGUGGCUCCUAACUGAUUCUGUCACUGUGAAAUCCUACAGUCAUUCUUCCACACAUAAAGGACAAAUAGGCAGGAGAGGAGGAUCUAGAUGCUUUCAGUUUUAACUCUUCACCAAUAGUAGAAAAGGCAGAAUGCCUAAGCUAUGGUUCUGUGGCCAAUAGGAUGGCUGCGUGUCUCUCACAUGACUGCCUGUCCCUGCCUUUCGCAUGGGCUCUAAUUUAGUUCAAUUCAGAACUGCAGAUAGUACGGUGGAGCAGGGAUCCCUGAGCACAAGUGGCCGAGUUCCGAGGGACUUUAGGAAAUGCUUCUCCUCCCUUCCUGGGCAUGCAAACAAGAUUCUGCACCUGCACCGCAGUUUGUCCGAGACAGAAGCCUCUGCCUCGCCUCGCCUCGCCCGCAGGGACAAGGAACUAGAGCAAGAAGCAGCAUUUGAAAAUUGCUCUGGAUUCAAGGACCAACACAUCUCAUGAAGGAGAAAGAAGGCAGCUCCAUCGACAUGUUCAAAGGCCAUCCAGUAGGAACCACAGCCAUGUGCAUGUCCCUGAGGAACUUAAAGAGGUUGGUUUUCUGCACCCUAAAAUUAGGCUGUGAUGAAUGUACAUCCUUUCUCUGAGCUCCCUGGAAACACUAUGGUCUCUGCUGGUCAGACUUUCCUCUCUCAAUGUCUCCACAUAGAUACACUCCAACAUUUCUCUCUCUCUCUCUCUCUCUCUCUCUCUCUCUCUCUCUCUCUCUCUCUUCCUCUUUUUCUUCUCUCCCUUUUUCCUCCCCCUUUUUCUUGCUCUCCUUAGCAGAUGUCUUUUAUAAUUUAUGUUGUUUGCUAUCCUUUCAUUAGAGCUAAGCUGCUUCUUAGGCGAUCGGGCAGCCAGAGCACCUAAGUACACACUAGAGGAGAGUGAUACUCAGGAGCCGCUCGCAGUCUCAUUGGGGCACUUCUAAUAAGCAUCUUGGUGCCACUGAAUGCAAAGCUGCAUUCAAAUAACAGCUUUCAUCUUCGGUCUUUGUAAAUAUAAAAGUAACCCUUGAAACCCUUUGAAGGACCCAACCAAACAUCAUGCACAAAAAAAAAAAUCAGCAAGGCUUUGAAAGACAUGUUUGUGUAAAGUCAUCACACUGCCUUUAUCAAGCAAGUAAAUGAUGGCUUUUAAUAAGACACAUGACAUUCUCAAUUAUGAGGGUCAUGAUUAUGUGUCCUCCAUGAUGUUUUGUGUUCCCACCAGGGUGUUUUUCUUUUCCUCUGUUUUUUUAUUUCUCACAUCAAAAAAUUUCAAGACUCUCUACAGUUCUCUGUGUAGAAAACGUAUCCAGAAAGCUACAGUUGUUUUUGUUUUGUUUUGCAGUGUUUGUUUGUUUUUUAGUGAAACCACCCCUGACACCCUGAACCAAAAGAGCAAAAUAAAAAAAAUCUUUGUUAAAAGGACAGACAUACUGGAACUAGAGGGUUAUAGGUGAGAGGAAUAAAGUGGAGGAUUGAAGGCUAUAAUUUCUCCUUCUGUGGUGGUAGCAAAAUCAGGAGAUGGAUGAAGUCAGGUGACUGCAGACAUGGCUGCUGGAAUCAGAGCCAGGAGGAGUAGACGGCCAGAGCCUGGUAAGAAGAACCCCACUCGUCAGGAUGUGCUGUGUGGCAUGGUGUGGAGUCCUCACUGAAUCCCUUCCCCACUCAGUGACCGUGUCCUAAUACCUGCCCACUUGUAUCCUAGAUUUAACAGUUCUAUGUUUGGUUUUCCUUCCUUCUGUUUCCUUACUUUAAAGCAAAAGAAAAGAAAGGCCCCUGACCUCUAUUCCCUGCUCAAAGAAGACACUGCAUCGAAAAGAACCCUUAGUGGACCAGAGGCACGUGCGCUGCAUGUGCACUUACAGUCCUCGGUUUAUAAUGUAGCCUUAUCCUUAUUUUCAUAAAAUUAAAUAGAAUUCUAGAAAUGAUAGUAAGCACAGAAACUGUACGCUGUGACUCAUAUUGAGUGGAAAGCAGGAAAUCCUAAAACUGUCUCCUAAGUCAUCGGACUAGCUAGAAAAAAAUGCUUAAUUACAGGUUUGUACACUCAGAGAGGAUGCUGAAGAAAUGUUUGAGGAGAAAGGCCCUUAUCAAAAUACACACACAGCAAACUGGAAUUGCCAUCUAACCUAGACAAGAGUAUGUGUUUAAAUUGCCUGAGGAUAUUGUUCACACAGCAAACUGAUGUCAAUCUUAUAUCUUCUGACGUCUGUAUACAUAUGCCGCUCAGCAGAAUUCUGCUGAGAAUUGAAUGUUUUCUUCUGGACACAUCUGCAGCUUCUGUUUGGCUUUGGCUUUUUUUUUCUGUUCUGAAGGUGUUUGCUCACUUCCCUGUAGUUUUGAUUUGCUCCUGAGGAUGCCCAGAAGAAAAGAAGGUAAGGACUUGCAUAAGUUGUGUUAGGCCUUAGGGAAUUCUUUCCUCGUUUUCAGUAUUGUGGUUUGGUUUGGUUUGGUUUCUUUGACUGGGUGAGAUGAAAGUCUUGUUUUCUCAUUUAUAAAUAGCCCCACGAGAACUGGUAGCUGUGUGAGCACAGAGAAGCAUGACAGACAACUGAUACAUCGGAUCUUUAGAAGUACUGUCAGUACUCUGUAGGAAAUACAGCUUACUCUGGAAAACACAAUUGACACAACUGUUUAAAAGAAACAAAGAUAUUAAACACACCAAUAAAUAACUGUACAUUAAAGUUGUAACAUUCUUUUUGUUGUUGAUUUUUGAGAUAACAGUACAGACUAGCCUCAAACUCACAGUCAUCCUCCUGCCUCUGUCUUCAGUGCUAAGUUUACAGAAAUUAGUCGACACACGACAUAAAACUUUAAUUCUACCCCUUAACCAAUUAUUGAGUUUUCCUAGGAAAAUAGAUUUCUUUAAAACCAUUUUGCUAAUAUUUGAAUCAGCACACAAAAUUGUAUAGUUUUUAAAAAUUUGGUAUGUAGGAUGCCUUAAUUCCUUAAAGUUUGCCACACCUCCCCUGGUUAGGAAUGCAAGCUUGGGAUGUUUUGAAGAAAUCAGGGUGUUUCUCUUCUACAGAUGGUUUGAUUGAAAUGUUUUAAGGAUAGGUGUCUCUUCAGUCAAACCUAAACAUUUUGAUGAAAUGUUUGAGUGGUUCUCAGUCUCCACCUACAAAUGCCAUUUGCUGUUUAUGUGGGACGAACGUCUUGCAAACUAAGGUCGUGCCUAAAUAAAACAGAAAUUCUAUAACCAUCUGCUUUAAAAGAGAUUAAACCAGAAUUUUGCCAGUUACAUUUCCCCAGCGUUAAUUUUAUGUAAUAAAAUUAUAGUAUAUUGUGCAUAGCAUCUUUAGUUAUGAUGCUCUAGGAAUGCCUAUGGGUGGUGUCGAAUUAUACACACGAGCAUGUAUUCCAACUCUAUUGGGAGUUUUUAAAGGUGCAUUGAGAGGUGUCAGUGGAUCAUAAUCCAUUUCAUUCAGAAACUGGGCUGCAUACUUUAGCUUCUACUUCUGGUUUGAGGAAAUGAAGGGAGGUAAAAUAUGAAGUCUUAUCAAGAACAGUGUUAGGGGCUGGAGAGAUGGCUCAGUGGUUAGGAGCACCGACUGCUCUUCUAGAGGUCCUGAGUUCAAAUCCCAGCAACCACCUGGUGGCUCAAGAACACUGUUUACUCCACUGUCAAAAUGAGCAGUGCAAUCUUACACAGCAGCUUGCUUUUCCCAAGAAGGCGACUAGCCAAGCUUAACCCUCACACUGGGGUAGGAGAUAUUUAACUCAGAAUCUCAGUACAAAGAGAAGCCUUCAGUUCAGAUGUCCUGCUGAUCCAAACCAAGUAGCUAUGUUUUCUGCACCGGGGUGAAAACUCUUCGCAGGCCUUGGAAAUUAGAGUGGAGCUUUGGGUAGAGAGGAAUUUCACUUGUCUCGUGGAACCGUACCACUGUGAUGGAAGGCUCUCAUUUCCCACGUGGGUAACAUGAAUUAUAGCAACGAUGGCCAAUUUAUAUCGAGGGAAAAGUCUGUUAUUUUUCUCUAGGUCAGGGUCACUCAUCCUGACCUCUGCUGAUAUUUUAAUCUAUAUAAUUCUUUUCAUGGGGAGAUCUCACAGUCUUGGCUUCUGCCUGCUGUGCGACAGUUCCUCCCUCCCUAACAACUCAUAUUCAUACACAACCAAAGGUCCUUCAGAGACUGCCAGCUACCUGCGAAAUAUAUUUGGUAUCUUCUUUGAUCUACACAUACAAUUAGUUAUAUUAGACCUUCACACUCACUUCAAUAGAAUUUUUGUGUGUGUGCAGCAGUUUUCUGAACAGAGCAGACAGCUUUGAUGCAAAUGCUCCUGCCAAUCCGUAUCUUAUCGGUGUGUGUAAAACUGUAAUUCCGGCUGUGUGCCCCUCACCUGCAUCACUCACGUGAUUAACGUAAUAAUAUUAAGAGUCAUCGAAUGUGGGCUAAUACUGCUUUAUUUAAAACCAUUCAAAGUGCCCAGCUAUGCUGAUAUAAAAUAGUUGCCUUCAUUUGGAUGUGAAACACUCUUCUUAGGCGUUAUCAUUAGAUAUAAUAAUAUGUUUUUAGAACCUAGUUUUGACAGUGUUGAAGAAAGCAGGGCGAUUUGGAUGACUUCAUGGGAAACAGCAUAUAAAAGUGGUAUUAAUUGUGCUUUGUCAUCGGUUUGGAAUUUCUCCAACUACUAGUUUCCUUGAGAAGGCACGUAAAAUAUUGAACGCUGAAGAAAAUUCGAAGCAAACAUGUAUGACCAACAGGGAAGUAGGUUGAUAAUUAUGGUCCUUUCCAGGCAGGAAGAGACACCUUGCUUUUGAGUAUGUGUUCAUGUGUUUGUUGGCUGGUAGUGAUUUUGAUUGGAAGGAAAAACAUAAAAUUCUCAUAGUCACAUAGAAAGCAAGAAGAUGAGUCAUCAAAAGGAAAAUGUUCUGGGUACAACUUGAGAUGACGAAAGGGAAAAUACAUGCCAUGGCCUUAACUUGCUCUUUUUAAAACUGUUAAUGUGAUUAAGAUAGUAAGUAUAUUGUAGUUUGAACUCAUUACCAAAAGUGAAUAAUCUGGGUCUGUUAACUGAGGAAGACUAAUUUCCUGAAUAAAUCGAUAAUUUCCCUUUGAGUGAACGUGCACGUGUGUUUGCACAUAGGCUUGAGUUUACAUGUGGGUGGGUCAUGUGGCCUCCCCAUUGCAUACCUGUGGGACAAAGCUGAUUUUCCUCCUUAUUCAUUUUAGUUUUUUUCCAAUUUUUCAAAAGUUUCCGUGGUUCUCUGCUUCAUGACUUCUACCACGUGAUACAGAGGCAGUAAAGUUUAAACAUGCCUUGUUUACGUUAUUAUGUGUUUACAGUUUCAGAUUUUAAUAAGUCAUCCAGAGCCACAUACUGUGGUAUGGUGAGAGAACAGGCUUUCCUCCGAGGGCCUUAGUUGUAUGCUAAUGCAGGACCUGGGCUAAACUCCAUUCAGGGGUAACUUGUAGCAUCACAGAACAUACAGCUGUAUAUCGGUAGUGUCAAGAGUUAGACAUAAAAGCCAGAAGACUUUAGGGCUCCAGUUUGUAGUAACUACAUCAAACCAUGGUCUUACGUUUCUAGCUCAUUGUUUUUCUUUAUGAGGAGGUUAUAAUGAGUGUGCUUUGUUUGAUAUGUCACAUAAUUUUUAAAAUUAUGGUGGAGUCUUUCCCUGGUCAUAAAUAACAGGAUCUGAAAUAAAAGGGAUGAAUAGAUAGGAGAACUUAUUGCUAGUAGAUGUUUCAUGUGAUAAAAUAAACUUUUAUAGUGAACGAGUUCACAUCAAAGAGAGAUUACAACUUGGUUUAAUGGUGAACUGGGAAAUAGAUUUUCAGCAACUUUGUGGCUAAAGGCAUUUCUAAUGAUCACAGUCUGUUCUACACUAGAGUUUUACAAAACGUUGGCUGCACCAGGACUACUCAAAGGGUUGUGAAAAUAUAGAUUUCUCAGCUUUGGGCCAGAGUCUGCUUCAAGUGAAUUUUGACAACCUUGUAUGUAUGACCAGUUGUCCGGUGGUUUGUGUCAGCUCCUGCAGGUAUGACCAAUUGUCCAGUGGCGUCAGAUGGCCACUGUCGUAGAGCUUUACUGACCCUCAGGAACCAACUCUCAGUUGGAGCUAAGAACUUUCUCUUUGAUAGAAAUGACAACUAGUACAGGUUAAAUAAAUAAGUUCGUAAGUUGGGAAUACUCAUUUGUAAUAGACUGACAGCUUUAUCAGAGGAAUGGAUGGAUUGUGAAUGAAGUUGUUUCCAACAAAUUCCUUCACAAGAUAUUAAAGACAGGAAAUACAAAUAUCAGCCAGCUUAAUUUUAAAAGUAUAUAAUAUAUAGUAACACAAAACAAAAAUACCUCCUAUCAUCAAUGUUUUAUUCAUCUUUUCUUGAUUAUCUCUGUUCUACCUGCUCUCAAGGAAUUAACAACUCUGGUUUUUCAUAGUUCAGCCACACCCAAUUAUCCAGUAUCUCUUAGCCUUCUAUGGUUUUUUAUCACUUACAUGUACUACAGGUAUCUACUAACUCAGCACGGUUACUUAAAAUCCAUUAAGACUUGAAUAAAUUGAAUUAAAUGCUAAUCCACGGGAUAGAGUGCAUUUCAUAAGUUAGACAGAACUGCAAAGCAUAUCUCGACGGAUAUUCAGGGCUACCCUCCAUGGUGGUGGAGACCACACACCUGAAGCACAUGCUGUAGCUAAUCAUGUGGAUGAGACUGUGGGAAUUGUGGCCAUUAAACAUGGAAUACAGGGUGUUGAGUGCUGGCUUCUCUCUUGUACGUUUAGCUACCUGAGUAGCCCCUGAGUCAGAUGUCAGACGACUCAUCCUAAACCAGGGGUCAGCUUCUCAUCUUCACUCCCAUUUUGACACCAUGACAGAAGCACAAGUAAGAAUGGCUUGCUGGGUGACCGUUUAGUUGAAGAUUAUCCUUUACCACAGCCAGUCAGCUGUCACCAUGCAGCUUUCUACAUAAGGCUUGGUGUUUUAUAAGAAGUUGAAGACAGUAGAAAUGAAAAUGAUAUGAAGUCCUUCUCUUCAUGCUCGGGAGAAUGAAUCCAAAAUUGAAUUAUAGAACUCACCAUAAACCAGGGCACCAACUCUUCUGCUUAUCUGGCAGAAACAGUGAAAUCAUUUAACCAAAUUAACAACACAAACCUUUGCAAACAAGACACCGUCAAUUGAAUUAAUAUCUAAUUUGUCAAUAAAUAUUUGUUACAGUUGACAAUAAAUUCUGACACACCAAUGCAUGUGUGCUUUAAGAUUACACAUAGAAUUAUGACUCUUGAGUGUACCUGUGGAGUGAAAGCUUGCUGAGAUCUGGAAUCUGGUAGUUGUUCCGACUACAGAGCAAGAGAAGAUGGAAAUAAUUGUUUCUGGUGGAAAACUGGAAAGCCAUCAUCCUUUCCCCCCUAUUCCAUUAGUGCUACUUGCAGAACCUUGAGUAGAGGUACUGAUUCAUUAGUGAGUAAAUAUUUUUAUAUCCCCAAAUGCAGUGGAUAAACACUCCAUUAGAACACUAAUAAUUAAACUUCACAUUUUUAUUUCCUGGCUUUAUAAACCAUUGUUUUCCAAUACCUUGCCAACAGUAUCCAAAUUUGGGAGUUAGGGUUAGAAGUUGUCUUCUGGGGGUUGGGGAUUUAGCUCAGCGGUAGAGCGCUUGCCUAGCAAGCGCAAGGCCCUGGGUUCGGUCCCCAGCUCCGAAAAAAAGAAAAAAAAAAGAAGUUGUCUUCUGUUUAGAAUGACUAAAAUGGCUAUAAUUAGAACAAUGUAGGUCUGUCUCCCCUGUCCUUUCUGUUUUCUAUGUAGUUUACCAAUCUUAGCUUUCCUUUUUUACAGAGGCAAAAGUAUAGAUCUCUUUGACACAGGACUUGUAGGUCAUCAUGUGCCUCUCCAAAGCAUUGUUGAUCCUGGAUUCAGGGUUCUGAAUGGUGGGGAGGAGCAAACUGUGAUGACAAAAUUGUAUCCUUUUCUUCCUGCAAUUACUUCAGCGUCCAUAUAGCCUUGACAUCUGGAAGCCCCCAGCUACUGUCGCAGCUGUGAUUCCUGCACCAUUGCAGGAAGUUAAGCACAUGUUGCAAAGAACACUCAUUGUUUUGGUAUUUUCUGGGAACUCAAAAUCCAGGCUAUUAGAGAGCAUACACUUGGUUCCAUGGACAUAUUGGAAUCAUGUACUCAUGUGAACCGCACCAUAAUAUGAACCACUUACUUACAGAUGGUGUAGGCUGUGUUUUCUUAGCAACACACACACACACACACACACACACACACACACACACACACACACACGCACACCACAUAUCAUGGCUACAUCCUGAAUUUGGCCAUUUUUAGAUAUACACUGGUCUUCAUUGUUCUUGUCUUUGAUUUGGAGACAUCUGCCAACGUUUUCUCCAAUGAUCAAGGUGAGAGGGACAUGUGCCUCAAGACACAGUCCUAUUUAAACUGUGGGAAGAGAAUUAAGUUAGACAGUAAAUGGGAGAAUUUUACCACUCUGUCUUUGUUCAUAUAGAACUUCAGGUAACAAGCAAAUGAACUCUAAAACACUUAGGAAUCAGUUCAAAAAAUCUUCAGUUUCCCAAAUGAAAUACAGAGUCACCGAGUGUUGGUAAAAUCCAGCUGACUUUUGGCAUCAGAUCAGUGUAGGGAAUGGUUUUGUGAUUUGAAGCUGAUGAACACUUAUGGCUGUUUACAUGGCAUGCUUUGAUUCUUUUAAAAUGAUCAAAAGGAGUGGGCGCUACAUGGGCUAGCUAUUAACUUAUCUUCAAAAAAAACAUAAUGACUAUCCUCAGCUUAAGAGCAUUAGUAGGUUUUGUUCACAAAAUUAAGAGGGAGAUGGAUUUUAUUAAUGCUCCAUAAUCAUUUUGUUAAUCAAAAUGAUUGCCAGCAAUCUUCUAGAAACUAAACUGCUCCAGAAGAGAUUGAGUAUUGCUGUCGCUCACAGUGCCACUUGGCAAAAAUAUAAUUGCAUAUGAUUUUUAUUUAGUUUACUGAUUGUAUUUUUAUUUCUGUUUAUUCAUCUUGCUUUCAUUUACUCCAAAACAUUAAAAUAGUCUCCGUAGCAUAUUAUUCACCCUAACUUGCUACUUAAUUCAAUAUUUCCCUUUGCCUGAUUAUUUUUAAUUUUGCACUCAUAAUGAUUAAUGAUCUCUUAUAAUUCAACAGUUUAUUUCAGAUGAUUAAAGUAGGCUUGUCUCAUUCAUGCGAUGGCUUCAAAAUCUAUCCUCUUUUGGUUAGAAUUUUUGACAGUGUAUUUACAAUAUGUUCAUAAGACAUUAAUUUUAUAUAUGUUCGAACAGUGUGUUUAGCUUUAGAGGAUUGCUCUUCUGAUAACCAGAAUUUAUUGGACAUUAUUCUAAUAUUUGAAUAUGAUGUUUCAUACUGAAGACUUAACUUUAAAACAAAUCUUUGUUUGAAUAGUGGCUGGUUUUUCUACCUCUGUUGCCUUCCAAAACCUUGCCAGGGCUCAUCUUUCUGAGUAGCAAUUACGAAGCCCAGAAAGAUGUUUAGAUGAAUUUUUUAAAACCCAAUUUAAAAUUGCACAGAAUGCACAAUACAUCUUGUCCAGUUGCCUGGUUGCCUUUCUCCGUCUGCAUUUUUGUUCUCUUAGUGACAAUUCACUUUUCAUUGCCCCACGGUGAGCAAGAGCAAGUUUUGUAUUGGUUUGAGCAAUUCGUGAGCAUUCAGACACAGGUGAAGUAUUUUCAGAAUCAAUACAGCAGAAUUGUGUUUGGGAUGGUCUGUUCACACACCAUUGAUGCUUUGUAACACAUUGGAGAAAACACUCCUUUUUACUGCUACUUAAACAAGAGGGCAUGGAGCAUUCCAUUUGCAGAGAAGUUCCAUCCAUCUGCUCAUGGGCAAAGGGGAAGGCAAAGAGCUGCAGUUGGGGAGACCAUACCCUAGUCUUUCCUGAGAGGAGAUUCAGCUCGCUUUAAAGAUUCCUCAACAGAAAGGACCCCCACCCCAACCCCAUUUAUCUGGCUUACAGACCACUUGCAAUCGCUUAGGGCAGGUUAAUGAUGUCAUUUAGCAGCUGCAGUCUUGACGUAGAUUGUUUCCUUAUUGAAGAGCACUGUGCAAGCCUGAUUUUGAAUUGUUUCUGUUGGACAUCUAUGUGUCAGAACUUAAGCUUUUCUCCGUAUUUUUUUUCUUCGGCUUUUCUCACACCUCAGAAAUCACUUUUAACUUUCCAAAGACAUCUCAGUUCUGCAGCUCAUUGCUAGAAUCUUUGAUGUCAUGACAUAAAAUGUCACAAGGUGAAAAUAAAAAUGAUUUGUGCACAGGACAUUGUAUCUUCAGAGUGUUUAAGCCAGCCUUAGUAAAGGUCAUUAUCAAGAUUAUCCCAUGUGACAAAUUUGGUUGAUAGAUUUUAUUUUGUACCGUGCAUGGGUUUGAAACCGGGUCCUCACACAUACCAGGCAAGCCUGCUACCACUGAGUCACAUCCCCAGACUGGAGCUAGCAUCAUUUUUGUCAUUACAUAGACUGCCUUUAGUUUCUGAGAAGUUCUUCCCUACAAAAGAAACUAAAAAUGAUUGUUGACGAUGAGAAUAGACAUGCUUCAUCUUGGUAAAAAAUAUUUCUAACCCCCUAUUUUUUUUUAAUAAAAAAUAGUCACCAUACAAAUGUAUGAGACCUAAAAUAUACUAAGAUUUGAAAACUAUCACCAAUGUAUUUAUCACAUGAAAUACAUGAUUUGGGGACAGAUUUUAUAGUGUCACAUCUAAUGGACCAUAAGAAGAUAACUGAAAGGAAAAUGGCUUUUCUUUUGUCUGGUUUUCUAUGGACACAUACUGAAUCUGCUAGGAAAACCUUCCGAAUCAUUUUUCUCCCUAGAGAAAUUACUAGACAUUUUUAAAAUCAUAAUUUAAUACAAAAAAUGUGAACAUACCACUAAUCUGUCUGUGACUUAGAAUCUUGACACGGGCUGCCUGUCAUUUGUUAUGGUGUGGUGAAUAGUUUACUUCAACCUCUUAGCCCUUGAGCUUCCUUAGAGGCACAAACAGUGUCGGUGCUCUCUGCUUAGCCUUGUGAGCAAAAUAUAUCGCCAUUGAUCCCGAAGAAAAAUUACAGAGAAGAGCAGUGAACUACAAAGUCCCUACUUCCUAACACAGAAAGAUGUAAAUGGUCUGCAUCAAGUCCUGGAGUUAGAGUGUAGGCUCUUCCUACCAGAUGUGGAUAUUUUGGGCACAUUUUUUUCAGCACUACACAAUCAGAAUCCAGCCCAAAAUAAGGAUGGGAGAAUACGAAACCCUCCUCCAUGUAACGUGUGUUGCUUUUUAUGUGGUGUUAACAAGGUGACUCUGAUGGAAAAUGUAGUCUGUCUUAGUUUAAGACGGAAGGCACAAAAAAGAUGUUUUCCUUCUGGACAGCAGACUUCAGCACUGAGGGAUCAGAGGAACAACUUGAUCGGCACUGUGAGUGCAGACCUAAAGAUUUCACAGCAUUCCUGCCUCCUUGCUAGGCCUUAUGUCUCUUUAAUGGCAUUUAGAUUAUCCUCCUCUGCAGCCACACAGUCAAAACACCAUGUCAUUUUGGAUACCAAAUUGCAAUCAGUCAGGAUGUCGCCAUUAAAGAAUCCAUAUAUGCUGUCUCUUGUUUUCAAUCUUUUGAUAGAAAAGGUAAGAGUACUAUCUUCUAAACUUGGUCUAUAGUUGAAUGAUUCAAAAUGGACAGAGGACAUGCUUUUAUUUAUAGACGUCCCUUCCUUUGUGUAAUGUAUUCCUCUCACAAUUUUAUUUUAACAUUGCCAUCUAUUUACUGUAUCACAUACAUGAUAUGCUUACACAUGAUAUACGGAAAUUAAAAGUAUAUAUUCAAUUAUAGGAAUUUUCUUUUCUCCCAAUGUGAGAUAUUUGAUAUAGAGCAUACUUAUACUAGAAUAGGUAUUAAAUAUAAAGAAAAGGCACCACACUCUGAAUUCUGGAAUGGCAUUCAGUACAGAUGGCGUGUUUCAAAUGUCAUACAAGAAACGAGUUUUAAUUGGAAUAUGUGCUUUUAAAAUAAUGUUUAUUAUAGUGACUUCACACUAAAACCCUUCUGAAAAAAUUAGCAUCUCACUCAGUAUUCCUAAAGAUACACAGGAAAGAUGUUAUGCUUUCUAUAAAACACAAUAUAUCCACCCCAUUUGAUGGUUUAUAUAGUAACACAUGUAGCUAUCCAUCUGUAUCAUCCGUGAGCAAAGAAUAGAGCUGACUUCCAGGACCACAGGGCACCCAUAAUUGGGUGGAGAACUUUGGCUUCACUCUUCCUCGUGUAGCAUAGUAUGGAUUUCAUGCAUUUGCAAGAGGAGGUUUAGGUCACAGACAAAGUAAUAAGGUCACAAUAUGCUAGCUCAUUUUAAAACCAAGGUGGAAAAUAAGUGACUUUAAUACUUUCAUGGGAGUGUUUUUGGGGGGGGGGGCGUUGUUAUUGUUUUGUUUUGUUUUCUGAAGCUCUCUUAAGUAAGCUUCACCUGAGAAGAGAAUAUUUAUUACCAAAAUGUCUCAGUUUUGGAAAAAGUCAUUUACUACACGUAAGUGAAUUCCUAAAUUUCUGAAUGUUCUGAGUUCUGAGCAACUUAUAUUUAUACUCUCUCUCUCUCUCUCUCUCUCUCUCUCUCUCUCUCUCUCUCUGUGUGUGUGUGUGUGUGUGUGUGUGUGUAGAAAAUUACAUUUUAAGCUAUAAGAACCAUGGAAAUAAAAAAGAGUUCUCAAACUGGAAAAGUCUAAAAUCUUACAGCAUUACUUCACCUCCCUAAGAAACCAGGUAAGGAAUGACAGGUGUAUUUACUGAGAAGGGAGGUGAUUCAAUAUUUUCUUUUAUUGAAUUGGGUUAAAUAGGCCCACAUUGAAUUAAUCUUUGGCAAAAACAUCAUGACAAGUAUUUUACUGACAGACUUUUUUUUAGCCAAAUAGAGCCACAUAAUAUAAUGUUUUAAUUAAAAUACAAUUUUCUUUUGUUAGAAGCAAUGGAAAAGAAGGAAUAGCCAUAUCCGGAGGUGAAAUCAUAGAGAGGAAGUUCUGCACGUGUGUGGGGAACAGUCAGCUUUAGACUAGGACUCUCCUCCCCUCACUCCUAGGAUUCAGGCUAGAUACUGGAAGCCCAUUCCUUGAAUAUAUACAUAUGAAAGAGAGAGAGAGAGAGAGAGAGAGAGGAAUGAUAUAUACAUAUAUAUUCAUUGAUAUAUAAAUACAACCUCUAGUCUUUAAAAUGGUACUUGUCUCUUGUUGGUUUAAUUAAACCUCUUACAUUGUUUUGUUCUGUGUCAUGGUAUUAGCAUGAAACUCUCCUGGCCUAGAACUCAUUAUGUAAACCUGAACUCACAGAGAACUGCCUGCCUCAGCUUCCUCAGUAUCGGAAUUAAAGCAAUAGGCUAUUUUACAUGGAGGAUUGGAGGAUUGGUGUGCAUAUGGGAAGAGUAAAACCUUUAGAACAGUGUAAUAUGAAACUCAGCAAGGAUUUCUUUACAAAUCUAAAAGAAUGAAAUAUAUUUGUGCACACGAAUACAUAUUAGUAGCUACUUGAGUCAUUUCACAAAGCCUUACUAAGUCAUUUAUUUUAUCCAAAUUCACUUUUCAUUAUAUGAGGUCAACACUAGUAGAAUUUGCACUUAAUAUAAAAAGUGCAUUUUAAUGCUACGAAGCACUCAUUUAAAGAACAGCUCAAAUUCCCAUCCAGCUCUAGGCCGUUACGACCAUUACACCAUAUGCCAAGCGCAGCGCCACAUCAGUUGUCACUGCACUCUCUGUAUUUAUGGAACUGAUUCCUUUCUUACAUCCUGUGAACAAGUGUAGAGUCAUUUGAUUAGCUUGUUCCAAUUAUCACAAGGCCAUCGUAUCAAUUCACUUGGAAGAAGGAGAGCCUUCCUUUAAUUGGCUCAUCCCAAUUAUCACAAGGCCUUAGAUUUCUUUCAUUUUCAUUUGGAGGAAGAAUAUCCUUUCAUUCAUUCAUAUAUAAAUAUAUGAAUACUAAUAUAUAUAUGAAUACUAAUAUAUAUGAAUACUAAAAUAUAUAUGAAUAUACACACACACACACACACACACACACACACACACACACACACACACACUAACUCUUGGCCUGUCGUGAUUAAUGAUAUUAAGGAACAAACAGUAACAAGAACAACAAGAACAACAAACCAUAAAAUAGUUGUUGAAUCUUAUUUUCAAUGCUUUUUGGCUAUGAAGAUUCUUUUGUAAACUUGCGUAAGUCAGUAUAGGGCACCUGUGGUCUUGUCAGUAAGAGGGUAUCAGCAUCUGUGAUCUUGACAAUAUGAGCUCUUUUUAUCUUGUGAUUUUGUCCUUAUAAGCACCUGUGCUUUUGUCCUUAUGAGCACCUGUGAUGUUUGUCAGUAUGAGCACUUGUGAUCUUGGGUGUUAAGUUUUUGGGUUUUAUUAAUUCUUUCCUUGGAUCGACAGAAAGCAGGACCCUGAUAAUUGUUUGUUACAUUUUUAAAUUUUAAAAUAUUUUCUGACAUGAAUGUUUCUAUUUUUCUAAUGACUAAAACUUGAGUGUUGAUGUAAUAUUCAUUCUGCUCUUCUUAACUUCAAUCUUGUAAAACGGGAUUCUCCCUAAUAACACGAUCUUGUACAUUUUAUAGAGGCAAUUCUUGUUUCUUCUUCAAAUGACGGGCUGCAUUUGUAUGAAAUAGCCAUCAUUAAAAGUAUCGUAUAUUUUAAGAUAUUUACUGUAGUUUAUAAGUUAGUAAAUACUGGAUAGGUAAGUCUAUAGAUGUAUAUACAGGCCAACCAUUAAGGAGCCUCAUUUGACCUUUCUUACUCAUCUUAGCCAAAAAAAAAAGUGCGAUUUUAAAAAGAUAAGUGUCAUCCAUUAUUAAGGGGCAAAGACAGAGUGCCAACUCUGAGUGAGUUCUUGUAAAAACACUGCAGUAGAUCACAGUGCAGAUGGAAUCUUGUUUGGGAAUCUCAAAGUUAAUAAUUCAUUUGGAGUGUUGGUUUUUAUGUUCCCCUUACCCUAUCAUCCAUAUGACGUAAGCCACCACUGGUUUUACUGAUGUUAAUUUACUAUGACAUUUUAAAAUAUAGGUCAAAGUCAUGUAAACAGAAUGGCACUUAAACAGAUUAUGUCAAACGUGUAACAUGCUGUAUAUUACAUUUGUCUCGUUUUGUUUGUGUUGUUUUCAUUAUGGUGCUCAGGUUGACUUUGAACUCUCAAUCCUCUUGCCUCAGUAUCAUAGUGCUUGUAUUACAGAACAGCGCCAUGCCUACCUCUUCAGCACAAUCCAUUUCUUGUUUCUUUGUUUGUUUAUUUGUCUUAGGACAUGAGACCCCGUAUUCCAGGCUGUCCUAGAACUCACCAUGUCACUGAUUCUCCAGCUUCCACUUCCCAAGUUCUAGGAUUGUAGGUAUGCACCACCAUUCCUACAAUUCUUCGAUCAGGAGAGUAAGCCUCCUGUAUUAUAUUUGUCAGGUUCAAGAGCAAAAUAUUUAAACCUUAGUCUCAUCGCCUUUAAAAAGAUCUGUAGAAAGACAUUUCUUUAAGUAUGGGUGGACAGAUCACGAACACAUUUGGAGAAUGAAAACAUUUCCCCUACUACACCACACUUGAGGAUCUAGUUACCUGUUCAUAAAGAAGUACAGUCAUUAUUACCAAGACCAUUUUCCAUUCAACUGCUAUUGAAUUUCUCGGAAUAGAAAUGCUGUUCAUGCUUGUACACACAGAGCCAAAACCAGAUUCAGCUCCUUCCCCAUUGGAUUAAUCCAGUUCCAAGUCAAAGCACUAGACUACCAUUUUUCACUCACAAAUGCAAAUGAACAGGUACAAUGGUAAUGACUUGCCUUUUUCUUUGUGUGACAUAGAAAGUUCCAACCCUAGUCAUUCCAUCGACAUAUCUUCUACACAGAAGACAGGACAGGCAGUGAAGGCAUUAAAUAAUGCAAUUAAUAACAAAUAAUUUAUGUGAUGCAUAAUUCAUAAUAUAUUCAUGAAGAACAUAACAAAACUUCUAGAUCACUACUUUCCAAGAGGCUUAUUAAGGAAAUAGAUGUUAUAGCUACUUCGCCCCUUAUGCUAUGCCCUGUAUGACAAGUGUUCUUGUUACACGUACAACCACAGGACUCCACCAGAGACCUUCACAGGGGAAUCCUAGGCUCUGAUCAGCACUCCCUGAAACUCCCACAGUCUCUAUCUGAGGAGGAGACUUAGUCAGCUUUCAUCUUCGUUUAAUGUCAAUUCCUCCAAAUUUCUGAGUUUGCUCAUUUGUUUUUCCAGAACUAAUGGUUUCUCAGACCUUAAUUUGAAAAAGCCAGCCACUGCCCAAUUAUUUGAUCAUUUGUUCAAGUGAAAAUACUCCUCUAAAUUCCGUUUGUUUUAAGCUUUUGAAGCAUAUGUUUUUAUAUUAUAUUAAGUAUUUUAUUUUAUAUUAUAAAUAUAAUAUAACAUUAUAUAAUAGAUUACAUAUUAUAUAAUUGAUUACAUAUUAUAUUAUAUUAAUAUGCUUCCUUUCACUUUUAAAAAUUUGCUUUAUAAAAACACAACUCAAAACCAAAUGAUCUUUUAAUUAAAAAAAUCAAUUUGAAGUUACUUAAGAUAUGUAUUCUGUAACAUUAUGAGAUAGUUGGGUAAAAUGGGGCUUUAAAGGGAAUGCAAGCAGUUGACUUAAAGAAAGGAAGGAGUGAGAAAAGGAGGAGAUAAUGGGGGAUUCCGUGUCUGUUAUGUUUCAUGAACCGUAAGGACUUGUGGGGAAGGAAAGCCAAACAUGUAACUGACAUGCCAACUCAUUCCUAGGGAACGCAUUCCUUAAGGCAUAAAAAUAUUAUUAAGCAUUUACAUUCAUGUCACUACGAAAUAGAUUUGUCCUGUAUUUACAUAUGUAACUUUGUAAGUGAAGCAUUGGUAUAAUGAUUCCAUUGUUUCUUUUAAAUAAAUAACCACUAUAAUACACAAAGAAUUUCAGAGUUCACUGCAUUGGCAGUAUCGUUAUGUCUAGCAUUUGUCCCUAGAGGGGUAACAGUGUGCUUUGGGCAUUUUUCUGGAAUGUUGGAGGAUAGUAUGUAACCGAGAUUACCCUCAAAGUCAAGAUCAUCUUGCCUGAACUUUACCUCCCAAAUACUGGAGUUUCAGUUAUGUAUUACCACGCUUGGAUUGCUGAAUUAAUUUCUUUAUUUAUAUUUAUAUGCUGCUAACUUGAUUACUUUAGUAUAAACUGUUAUAAAGGUUAAAUUUGUAAGUAGCCACAACUUUAUAGGUAUCCAAAAUCCAGAAAUCUAGGUACAUUUAGAUACUUUGAAGCAAAAGCAAAAGCAAAAAACAAAAACAACAAAAACACAAAACAUUUUUGUUCAGAAACAUAUCUCUAGUAAAGUUUUAAGGCACUAUCCAUGUGAUUAAUGGAAACUAUACAGUUUGUAUAGAGGUUCUCUUGUAAAUGUAGUAGCAUGCUACUGGUCAUGUAAAUUGUAUAGAAUGACUCUCCUCCCCUCAAAGUGAAGGGCAUGCAUGGAUGGGUCAACAGCGGGAGAAUCAACAAAGAGUACCAGGCUGUACGAUGAUCAUCGAAGAUGAGCUCUAAAGGAAGCUUUGUGGGAUGUCCACACAGAUGGCUGCUGCCAAGCAUAAAUAAGAAUGAGCAGGAGGAGGAGGAGGAGGGGCGAGCAGGGAGAGGGAAGGAACAAGCAAGUCCAUGUUCACAAGAUGUUCUCAUAAGCCCCCUUAUCGUUCUUUAAUGUCUUGACCAUGGGAAAGGUGAAUUAGAGGAACCUUCAGUUCCCAUCUGUAACUGAUGAACUCACCUACUAAGGCUUUUCUAAAAAUCUAACAGAAAGUCAGUUGCUGUGUUUAUCUCUCUUUCUAAGAUGAGCUGCAUGAACGACAGCUACAGUGUUUCAGUAGAGAGCAGGAAGUAGGAGAGAGGCAGGAAGCUUUCCCAAUGCUGCCCUUACAUCUUUGAAACUUAUUCUAGUAACUUUUCAAAGCACCACUGUCCACCUUGCCUUGUAAAAAUCUCUGUCGAAGAAAGAAUGAUAGAAUGAGAAACUGAUUAAUUCCUGCCAUGAGCUAGCAUGUAGCUUUAGAGAACAAUGCUUGGCUCAGGUGACUGCUGACACUGUCUGUCUAUUCUGCUGCCCCUUGAGUAGGGCCCAAACUCUCUUCCUAGCUAUCAAAGCAUUUUGAAUGUAUUUUAAGUUCAAGCUUAGCAGUUCAAUCACCCUCCUGCCUCUCUUCUCUCUGUGCCCAGACACAUGGAUGUCAGGCAGGGAUAUGUGCUGGUUCCCUAAUAAGAUGUGGAUCCCACGCUUCUCUCAACAGCUCGCUCUUGUUCCACUGCAUCUUCUCUUCAUUUGGAGAUCAUUUCUGUUGAUCUCUUUAGUAAAUUAAAGAUGCUGAAAUUGCUCAAAAUUGCUCAAAAAUAAAACCAACCGUUGAGAACUUUUUCUUCAAGAAGUCAGCAUUUACAGAAAUACCUAUGGCAGCAUACUAUAUGACAAUUAGGAGAAAAAGAUUUUAUCCAAAGCUACAUAGUCCUACAUGAAGGAGAAGGAGGUAUUUUUUUCCCACAAGUCUUUGCUGUGGUGAUUACAGCAGCCUUUUAUUCAGACAGUUCUCAGCCUGACCUUGGGAACCCGUUACCUUCUGGGCAAUUAUAUUUAAUACUGAGGAUAAAAAUACAUGAUCCAGAGAAGCUCCUGUCUUCUGUUAAGUCUGCAUACUGUGUAUCCUCGCUCGCAGAGAGACCUGGAGCUUCUAGUAGAGCAGAGAGCACUGGUUUCAUCAUGAGUGACAGAGGUAGACUUCUUGAGGAGUUCUAUUUUAAGUGCACUGUCAGGACCUCGUUAUUUAGAGCUGGGUACUUAACCACUGGGUGUCUAGUCUCUCCAUGCUAAAUUAAAAAUGAUUAUAUUAUUUAAGGCACCUUACCAUGCCUGAACAGAAAUUCUAUCACAGAUUGGAAAGACAGUAGUGAAACACAAAGUAAGACUGCCACCCCGAUAGGCGCUCCCUUCUAACAGGACACACAGACAGUCAACGGAGAGACUAAUGACCCCAGCCUUAUGUAGCACCCAAAUCUUAGUGUGUACCCUAUCUUCCUAUAAAUGUGUCAGGGUGAGUUCCUUCUGUGUGUCAAGUUCAUACUGAAAAACUCAUGGUAUUAACUCUACCAUUAUCUCAUUUCACACUCUCUUCUCUGCACUGUCAUUUGAAAUCUAGUCCUUGCUGUGGCUUGAAAGACUGUAUGGUUUACUUCUCUCUUUCUUACUAGUUUGUGCUUGGUUGUGUUCCAAAAUUCUAGGGGGAAAGCUCGACAUAUCUGUGUACAUAUGUGUGCACAGCUCAUCUUAUAUGUACAUGUAUAUACAUGUAAUAUAUAUAUAUUGUCUCUAGGGCAAGUUUGAAUAAUUUAUGGACAAUAACUGUAUUACUAAUCAUAAUUAUUAAAUAUAAUACCUAGUAUAAUGUCCUGUUGAUGUAUGGGAUUGAGCACAGAAGAGCAGAGUCAAUUCAGAGUUAGAACAGAGCUGCUGUUUCUUAUGUAAUAGCGAGCCGAGCCACAGAGAGUCAUGCCAGAUCAGAGGCAUGAGUGAAGUUACGAAAAGCCAGUCUAGCUAGUAGUACAGCAUUCUAGACCAAAUCAUGGCAUGUGCCAAGGGGCCAAGGGUGCCCUCUGCCUGGCACACUUUGUUAAUGGCAAGGACAUCUUGCAAAUGAAGCAGAGGCGACAAAGAGGCAAGAGGGAAAAAACCACAAUAAAAAACAAACAAAACGAAAAGUAUAGCUAAUUCAUGUCGACCGUGGACUUUGGUUUGAGAAGAUACCAAACAGAGAGGUAGAAGCUACUGAGAGGUUCUCCAGGUAUUCGGUGCGAGAGGUUUUGUAAAUGUGAUGGUGGUGGAGAGAGAAAAGAACAUAUUGUCUUCCUAGCUGUGUGAUUAAUCACCGCCACGGUGAACACAAAGACCUCCACACAGGAUUUAGGAUAAAAAGGAGCUGUGCAGGGUUCUACUGAGAGAGUAUACACAGAUGAAUAAUGAGAAAGUUUAUAAUCUUAGCGUAGAAAAUGUGAACUGAGCAUGGUACCAUCCACACAUAGUCUGAAAGGUCAUUCUAUUAUCACAGGUUGUGAAAUUUUAUUCACUUUGAAUUAUUUUAAAUGCACAUUCAUUGGAAUAGCAAUGAUUUCCCAGCAUGGAUAUUAUAUUGUAACCUGUUGGCUGUCUGGUAUAUUGUAACACAUCAAUACACUAGAAGGCUGGUUGUACCCCACCUCUUCAAAAGGAGCCGCCUUGGAGCAAAUGUUUUGCAGAACUUGAUCACCCAAAUCUGUUGGGUAUAUUUUCAUAUGUACCCUAAGCAAGAAAGCAAGGGAUGAAUGUAAAAUUUAUCCUUUAGCAUAUAUAUGUAUCAAAAAUAUUUCUUAUUAAUAUCUACAUUUGCUACAUUUUUCUGUUUUCAAUAAAGAAAAUGGCGUCUUGAAAGAGAAACUUCUCAACUCAGUGUCUUCCUUCAAGGUGACCAGAACGUCUAUAGUACUUCAGGGCUUCCAAGAACAGAAACCACUUUCCUGGAAGUUUUUAUAGUAGAAGUCACACCUGGGUAUCAUUCAAUUUUUGUGUACCAGUGAGCACAAUGCACCUAGAAGAUUUUGUGAAAGAAAAAAAAAGUCACAUUCUCCAUUUAGGUUCAAUAAAUGUUACAGAAAGACGGAAAAGAAAUCGCAUGGAGUUAGUAGAGACUAUGUAGGCUUUUAAUUAUGAUCCUAGGCCAAAGUGAUUGGGCAGACUGCCUGCUAUACGUUAUAAAUUAAUUCCAUUCAUUAUUUCCCUACUUCAAGUUUUGGCUGGCCUAAUUAAGGGCUGUUAUAUAAUUCCAGCUUUGACUACCUCCCUGCAAGGCCCCUAAUCACCUGGCGCAGAGGCCCAGUGCAGACAAUUGCCUAGGCCUCCCAGAGUCUGACUUAGACAGACUUGGGCCUCUGAUUUAUGGGCCAGUCCUCCUGGAGAAGAAUGGAGAGCCAAGACAAAGCUCAGCCUCGGGCAGAUUGUGUGCCCGGGUCCUCGGUCCUCGAGUGUGCUGCCUGAAAGCUGUCACCGGAGAGCUGAGGCUUUGGAGUGGCCCUAAGCCACCAUGCCCAGCCUUUCUCAGCCUCUGGGGUUCCACCUACCCUGUGUUCCAAGCUCUUCCCAGAGAGUAGGACAGUAGUAACUAGCCCAGCUAGGCCCUCAGCUAAUCAAUGAGCAAGACACACAGGCAGCUGAAUCCCUUUUGCAAUCAGGAAACUGACCGCUCAGCUUCCUGGGAAUGGAAAGUAAUUAACUUGGUCUAGUACUCAUUUAAAAUGAAAGAGUUACACAUUCUAUCUGACCUGUUCAUUUUAGUUCAUGUAGUGUUGUACAGAAAAAAAAAAAACUAACAAUGCCUUUCCCGACUUCAAGGCAAAUUUACUUAUGGCCUAGAAAUUAAUUUAUCAUCUUAUCAGGAACUCAGACAUAAAAAUCCAGCCCUGUGCGUUCACCGAUCCUGUUGUAAAUGCAGCUGCAGGUGGCACACAGGGUCUCCAUUCCUGAUAAGACACAGACUUGAGCUAUUCAGACGCUGUAAUGAGCUUUGGGCCAGGCCAGAUGGAGACAUCAAAAAUUUGCUUUAUACAUGCUCAUACUUUUUUAUUCCUAUUGUUCUGUUUACAGCCUUACAGGGGGUUUUGUGUCUUGAGACUCCACUGAUGUGCAUGCUGCUGGGUUAAAGGCUUGGGCAUGAACCCAGUCACAAAAUAAAACUCAGUCCAGUGUAACGGUGAAGAAAAUACCUACGUCCAAAUUGAUACGGGAGAUAUGUCUUAGAGACCGCUACAUGAUCCUCUAGAACUGGACUAUUUUCCCAUUAGUUCAGGGCAUUAGUUGAAUAAUGAAAGGUAUAAUUUUGAAAGGUAUUUUAAGGUUCAAUGUGUAUUUCUGCAAGUAAAAUUUACUUCUAUAUUCAACUCUUGAUUUAACCUUUUGCCUUACAGAUAUUGAAAAGAAAGGAAAUGGUUUCAGUUAAAGGAAAAGAAGAGGAGGAGGAGUUGGGGAGGGAGAAGUAUAUUCGGGGAUUUAAGAACCAGAAAACACUUUUACUUUUAAGUCUGAGCACAUAAUUCUCUGUCCUAGAAAUAAUCCAUUAAGCAAACUGCUCUUCAGAGUGAAAGAUACCAAGUGGACACUGAUAUUUCGUGACAGUUUGAGAUCAAAUGUAUUUGCCUAUGGCUCACUGGGAGAGGCGAGGGAGGCAGGGGCUAGAGAUGCUAGCCUUCUACGGGGCAGUGCUGCGAUGACAUUGAUCUAAAGGAACUCUGACGUCUCAGAUUUUUGAAAUGCAUUUGUGAAGCAAAAGAGAAAUGCCACUAGAGGUGAGGAAGAAAUGCAUGCUGUCACAAGAAACAGAACUCUACCUGUUACCUCUGAGCUGAACUAACAGAAAUAAACACGUAAGAAGAUUUCGAAUGUGGAGUGGAACCAGUAAAAUACCACAUGGCCUAACCCAUGAAUUUCACUAAAUGCCAGAGGGCACAGGAGUUAAGACCAUCAAGUGCACUGGCUCUUGAUUAUGCAGUCAGCCCUCACUCCUGCUCCAGUUUUGUGGAAUUUUAUACAAGGUACCUACAUUGUCUAUGUCUCGAUUUCUUCUUUCAUAAAACAAACAAGCAAACAAACAAAAAGAGAACUGAACUAGACCAUGCUAAGACUGAAAAUCCAUCUACUAAUCUACUUUGACGGUAAAAGCAAACUGAACUAGAGCUCCUUCAUUAAAAGUUGACACUUUGUCAUUAGCUUAUGAUUACUGAUUUGUAGGUACUCACAUUUUCCUAUUGAAUGUAUAUGUUUCUAUUCCUAUUGAAUGUAUAUGGUAAACGAUCCAAAUGUCUACCAAUAUUUAGCUGAAAGUCUUCAUUGGAUACGGUUUCUAACCUAGAAAAGGUUUUGCUACGGAUCUACCCCUCAUAUGUACAGUUUCCCAAAUUAAAUCAAACCAUUGCAUAACGUUGAGUCUCAAAGAGGAAAAUAAUACUCUCUGUUGUUUCAGAGCUGAGCUGCUACUGAAUAAGAUAUAUUUAAUAAGCAGUGAAUUGGUGGAUAAGUAUCAACUUUAUCUCUAUCUAUGUCAAUAUCUAUGUAUCUAUAGAUAUAUUCCAGUCAACUCUAUGACUGCCAAGGCAGGAAAAAAAAUGCAAGCUCAGCUUAGUUAGGCCUCAACUCUCUAGAGCAGAGGAAAGGGAGAUUCCACCACAUAAGCGGAUCUGAAUGUAUCAGAACUGGCAUCCUCUCUACUGAGCUGGAACGCUAAGUCCCAAGAAAGCCCCAUGUUCAGCUUAACUCUUUAGUCAACCCUCAUGUCCCUUGAUGCUUUGCUUCUUUUUAACUGGGAGCUAUUGUGAGACAGAUUCUUACUGUGUAGCUCAGGUUAGCCUCCAGUCCAACACAAGAUCCUUCAUUCCCUGCCUUCCUGAGGCUGGGAUUACAGGCACACCCUCAGAGUCUGGUUCCCUUUGAGGCUCUGAGCUUUGCCAGGUCCAGGGGAACUAUCCCAUCUGUUGGCAGCACCUUGCCAGUGGCUGGCACCUUGCCAGAUUUGAAAACUUCUGAUUAAUUUCCCCCUCUCUUUUUCUGUUCUUUUUUCCCCAAUGUCUUCCUUCCCACCAUCUCUUCUUUCUGUCUUUACACCAAGAAAUGUAUUUGAGCAAAGGAAGUUUCCUACUGAAGAAGGGUGGCCAAUGCUUUACCUGUGGAUGUAGCCUUCUGAUUAAAUUAGCAGUAGGAGUUUCCGUGCUUACUUCACAUGUAAGUUGAGGGUUCCUGUUUUGAUCUCCCCGUUCCUAAAACACUGUGUGUCUUUUUAAGGUUUUGUGGCAACUUCCUCUGUUUUUGCCAUGUGGGGCAUCGCAAAGCCUAUUGUAAGCCGGAAAAUAACCCCACUACCUCCUCCAAGUUUAUCUUUAUCUCUGAAGAAAAUCUCUUCCAGAACAGCUGUUUUUUAUAUAGCUCUCUGCAGUAUCCUUAAAACUAUAAAACUGAAAGACCGGGGCCUGAGGACAUAUUCUAUAUCACAUGUACAAAAGCAUGAAAAAGUCCUGGAAACACCAUUGUGCUGGAUUUAGUCAUAUUUCCCUCCAAAUAGAAGCAUUCUGUCGCACUUGGACUAACUGCAAAGCUCAGGCUUUUGCAUCCUCAUCCACUAGGAAACUUCGAAUGCAUGUGUUUUUCCUCUCUGGUCCCCUCCACUCAGUGGACUCAUGCAACUGUACUAAAGAGGAAAGCCAUGUUUGGAAACAUAUGCUGUUACAAGAGUGUGAAUGUACUGAAUUUUAGGGGACAGAUGUUUUUAAUUUCCAGUAUGUUGUGUGUAUCUUAAUUCCAUUAUUUCUCCCAAAGUAUUCUGAAUUUAUUAUAAUGAAUGUAUGCCUAAUUUUAAAAUUUUACUGUCCAUUCCAAUAACGUAUCGUUAGUAACUAUAAAGGCUUAGAAAAUGUAUGCUUUCAAAAUAAUGCCGCUUGCAGUAAAGUAAAAAUUAUGUCGAAGGGCUGAGGAAAAUUGAGGUCCUUUCCGUUCUUUUUUUCCAUAUGCCCCCAGUCAUUUCCCGUAACAGGAAUGAGAGUUUAUUGGUUGUUACCCUGUCUCUCCAAGGGACAUUUUUAGUUCUCUGAUAUAAAUUUUCUAAUGUCAGAGAGAUAAAAAUGGAAUGCCCCCAAAUGUUUCCAUCAUAUCAUGGGAUAAUUAGGAUAAUGUAAAAGAUAUCUCACAGUUUUGUUCAUUUGGCAUGCUGCAGGAUAAAGUGUGCUUUAGACGGACUCUGAGAUUGGGAUUAUUUUCUAAAAUUUAAUAAUUUAUCUCAAAGUUCAUUUUGUCAUAAUUCAUGCAAUACCACUCAGAGUUAACAAUGGGAAACUAUUAGCAAAUAAGUUUUUAGCUUAACAAUCUUCCACUUAGUAAGCAGUUUCUUACUUUACAAAGUAAAACAGAUACAUUUUUCAAAUGUUAUUGUUGAAAUUAUGGGGGUUUUGUUUGUGGGCUUUGUUUUUAACCAGAAAAUAAAAGGUAAAAAUAGAGUGGCAUAGUAUAUUUUCAAAACUCUUUCUCCAGGUGAAAAUACCUCUGAAUUUAAUCCUGACUUCUGUUAGUUAAAUAGAAGAUGUAGGGAGAAUGAAUCAGAUUGUACAGGUCAGUCAAUGUGUUUGAAGCAAUGUUGGGGAAUCCUCUUUUUUUUUCGUUGACUAAUUUGAUUUGUUGCUCUAAAUUUCUUCCUUUGACAAAAAGCAGAAACACUAUGUAACAUUAUGAAAUGUAAUUUCAAGAAGAUAUGAGGACCACAAGUUACAGUGUAAAUUGGUGUCUGGAAAUGAUGCUUGUGGAAAGACUAAAGAGAGGACUAUGUGACAGUAAUGCCCCUGUUGAGUUGGGGGUGGGGCAUUUACACACACAUAUGAAGAGGCCAGAAGAGGAUGGCAAGUGUCAUCUCUCAUGCAUUUUUGACUUAUUUUUUUAAAAGGUUGUCUCAUCAAACCUGAAGCACACCAUUUUGCAUAGGUUGGUUGGCCACACACUCCUAGGAUCUACCUGUCUUUGCCUGUGAGCACUGGGGAUUUAGUUCAGGUCUUCUUGCUUUCAGCAAACAUAUUUACCUCCCUGAGCCAUCUCCCUAGACCCACUCACUAAUUUUUAGACAUUGAUAUGAACUGAAUUAGUACAAGUAAAAGAAGGAAAUGUAGAUUCUAAGAUAAGGUAUUUUAUUUUAUUUUACUUUAUUUUUAUUUUCAAUGGCCUUUCUAUUGGUAUCCUUUGGGGAAAGUAUCUGUCAACUGAAAUACUUUAAUUAAAAACAUACUGAGAUGGUAUGAACAUGUCUGGAGGAUGCUGGAAUCCAUAACAUCUUAGAGUAUUAGUAAGGGGGGGGGCUUUGGGUUGCUUGAUUUUGUCUGUGAAAUAAAACUAUCAUUUUAAAUGAAUAUUAAUGUUUAUGUUAAUGUGACUGACUUUUAAACAAACUGAUGCUAUGCAUAAAUGUGUUGGGGGCUGGUCAUAAAGAGAAGGAUCUACAAUUAAUCAGUGAUACAAUUUGUUAAAUAAAGCAGGUAAUCAGCUUGGUAUACAUGGAUUUUUCUCCGUGUAAUAGGAAAUAUUGCUGAAAGUCAUUGGUGUGAACAGAGCAGGGGUAGCUGACGGCUUGCCUCAGGCACCAGCCUACAAGAAACUUUGAAGAAUUGGAGACAAGAAAGGAUAAUUAUGAGAAGAUCACUCAAUGAGACAGUAAUAUAUUGGGUGAGGCAAUGCUCCCUACAAAGAUACAUUUUAGGAAGUAAUGAAGUAUGGUUGCUUGCAAUGCAGUGCAGAGGGCAGGGGCAGAAGGAAGAAAGAUUAUGUAUUCUAUGCCAGAUGGGUGACAGAUGAGAUCCAAGGCAAACUGCAGUAGGCUGUAUGAGGUCAUACAGGAAGCAAACAACAUUAAACAGAACCAGAGGACUCAUAUGUGGCUCACUUAGAAAGGAAUUCAGGGGUUUCUUCAGCCUGCUCACUUUAGAACUUCCCUAUUGGAUGUCACUUUACCUUUAAGUAAAUAAAAAUUGCAGCAAUCCUUUGAUACGUUUUUCUUGGGCAAUACAUUAUCAUACCUUUAUCUACAUCUGCAUCUUGCUCAAUAACAAUAUGAACGAAUAUUUCAGAAAUGAAAUAUAAUUUAUUUUUCCUUUUUUUCUUUUUUCUUUUUUUCAGAGCUGGGGACCGAACCCAGGGCCUUGCGCUUGCUGGGCAAGUGUUCUACCACUGAGCUAAAUCCCCAGCCCCCCGAAAGUAUAAUUUUAAACAGUAUACAUUUUGUCAAAAAUUACUGUAAGAGCAAUUAAGAUAUUUAGGUAUGAGGUUUGUUUUUAGUGUGAUACUUUGUUCAUAUUGUUUGAAGGCAAUGUACCGUCCAUUCACCCAGAAGAGGAAAAUUCUUAUUUUAGUGGAACACUUUGUCUCAAGUGCUUUGGCUCUUGCUUCAACUUCUCUGUGUCUAAACUUCUGAGAGUGACUAGCAAACCUCAGACCUCAGUGCAGUCCAUGCUGAAUAGAUGGUACCCUCGUAGUGAAGUUAGCUAUUUCAACAGCCUUCCUAUGUAUUCAUGUGGUAUGGAGAAUAGAGACUAAAGAGACUGUGUCUGGAUAAACAUUCAGAAUUUGAUGCUUACCAGGGAAUCAAGGAUAAAGCAACAAUUACAUAUUGAACAUCUACUCUGUUCUAAAAAUUAUAUUAGAUCCUCAAGGGCUCUGGGAACAGUCUAUGACCCCAAUAACUUUACAAUACCACAAAAGACUCAGGUCGAAAAGGACAGGCUUGGAUAAGGGUCUUACAUGUCCCUUUCAUUUUUAGAAAAAAACAUUUCACAGAGAAAUUUGUAAGACUGAAGUUAGAGUCUAGAUCCCUUUGAAGUUAAGAUCCCUUUGACGGUUUAUCCCCAACCUACUCCACUAACAUAUUCUUCCUCCAUUUUAAAUGUCACCUGCAAGUAUCAGAAGACCUUUAAGACUCAAAGUGCACAUAUCGCAUAUAAUUUACAUAGAUUUCUUGUGCAAUUUUGGAAAAAAUGUUUGUCUAAUAUUGACAAAUAAAACAGUGUUAAGAAUAGAAGUAGAUGCAUUUUAGACAUUAGAUGAUCAAACGGUGGUAAGUUUGUCCAAAAUUAUUCAAUAUUCAAUAAACUGUAAAAUAAGUGUCUUCUUUUUAGAAAUGCUUCUCUUCGUCCUCUGGCUGGUAUUUGUUCUGGUUGUUUGUAUAGUAAUAACCCUUUUCUCUAUAAAGUCCUUCACAUUUGUGGAUUUGUUUACAGCAUGUGUGUUUGAAUUUUAUAACUAAUCUUGAUUUUUUUUAAAAUCAGUGUAUGCUAUUCCAGGGGAAAUUUAACUCUCUGUGCACUUGUGUGCUUCACUCACAUGCUUGGAAUGCUGCAGCUGCUUAGCAACCUCCAGGCAAUGCUAAAAUCAAGUUUUAAGGGAGGAAACUAGAAAGAAUAGCGUUGUUUGCAUUUGCAGAUGGGGUUUCUUUUCAGUGCCUAAACUGAGUUUGAACCAAAAUUAUUGAAUCCAUACACUUUUUGAUCCUUAAAUAAUGGAAGCCAAAAGCCUGUAUAUUUUUGAUGGUAAAUUGUAGAAAACAGUUAUACAAACAGGUCAAUUGGGUCACUUUCCUCUGCAUUGAUCUCCAAUAACCAAGUAUGAGUGAUACAGCAGACAGAUUGCUUGCAAAUUUUGUUCAGAAUGUCUUUGAAAAGUAGAGUACAAUGACAUCACGUUUUGUCUUAAAGUAAGUAUUCCCGUUCGGGACUAAUCAUACACAGUGUAAUGUCAACUGUAAUUUUCUACUCUGUGCUAGAAAUAGAAAAGGUUGUUCACUUCUGUCAUAGCUAAGCUCUCAUUACAAAUAACUUCUGAAAACUUAGGCCCAUUGAUUUUCUGAAAAUAUGCAAAUUAAGAAAAAGCACCCCAACCAAGAAGAUGCGGACAGUUCUUGUUAUGGAGAAACGGUCUCAUUUCUCUCCUUCUAUGGAGACACAUUUGAGUAUGGUGUAAUUUUCAAAUAAUUUUUGAAAGAUGCAAAGCCACAAAGUAUGAAGACAUCGCUAAGCUGCCUGGAUUAUAACAGACCUUUUACAAAGACUGUUUUCACUUCGAGAGAAGCAGAAUAAUGUCUAGACAAAGUGUCUUUCUCUCUCCAGUUUAUUAUUCAGUCAUUCUAGCCUUUGCAAGAUCCUAAUUUACAAACUAUGAUGACCUGUUGAUAAAUUUAGGAGCAGAGAGCACUAUAAGUUACUUAUUAAGACCAUCUUGCUACUGUGUACUGUUUAAAAAUGUAUAAUGUUGGAGCCCUCUAGAACUAUUCUUUAUCUAAGAAACUAAGAAAUAGAAGCUAACAAAAUAUAGCUUCUAUAUUUUGACAAGAGUCCAGUUAUCAGAGUCCAAGAUCAAUUCUUCCAUGCUUGGAGAAGUUCAAAUCUUUGGUUGUGACAUAUUUGCUAUUCAACUUGAACCAACAUGUUUAACGCCAUGGAUCUUUGAGAGGAAUAUGGUAUUGAUGAAACUAAGUAUUUAAUGUUUGCUGAAAUUCUUUUUGGCCUCAUUGAUGCAUGAGGGUAACACAACUGCACUGCGGGCUCCAUGAUAGAAGAUCAGUGCUCACCAUAGUCUGCUUAGAUUGUUCAUUCUUAACACAGCAAUUUUUAUUGAGGCAAUGGAACAAUAUUCAAUGUGUGUGCAAUAUAUACCAAAACUCGAGGGAAAAGAUUCACAAGUUUUCUGUUUCACGUUCUUUUAUACCAUGCAAAAUAGUUACCUAGAAAGAUAUCACGACUGCUAUCAUUUAAUACCAUAAUUUUUUUAAUUCCCACAGAUUUUACUUUGAAAUGUACUUGUUGUUGCUGCUUAAGCCUCUUCCACAAGUUAGUCAUUCAAACUGUUUUUUUUUUACAACAAACUUAGGCUCACUAUAAUCCCAUGAAAGAUAAGUUGUAUUGUAUGCAUUGUUCACACAGAGUAAUGUAUAAAACAUUUGGAUCCCUGUUGAUUGAGAGGACAGAUGCCUGGACAAUUUAUGAAGCCAGAAAUAUGUCUGCAAUAUCUUAUGAAAACAGUAAGGUAUUUUAAUGACAUAAUAAGUGGAGAAUGCAGUUCAAAAAUAGAGAGCUUAAGAGACUAAGUUAGAGACUGAAUUUUGAAUAUAGCACAGAAAAUUCAAAAGACAUUUAAUUAAAUUCUUAAAACACAAAAAUUCAACUACUUUUAUAAUAUAACAUUCUAGAAAGAAAAAUGAAAUGUAUUGCUUCGAGUGAAACAAAAUCUUAAGAGCCUAGAAUGGCAUUUUGGUUUUGGCUUUUUGUAAUAAUGUAUAAUAGAUCUCUUUCACUGGAAAAAAUUAACCAUUUGCAUAAAUAAGAGGUCUGUUUCUUUUCAAAGAUUCUGAUUUAUUUUUCCAGAAAAGACAUUUAUUCCAAUACGUGUAUUCUUUUCAAUUUUCAAAGAUUAAUUCAUGUUGUUAAAAUUGCUUUGAAUCUAUGUUAACAUAUCUGUUCUUCCCCACUGAAGGGAGAAGUCAACUGUUAUUACACAGUCUUGGAUCAAGGACAGAACAUUUCUUUUAUAAAGAAAUAAACACUGCCCACCAUGGCAAUGCCACCAUUUAUAGACAUGACAGGAUCCUCGAUUCAAUCAUGAUUUAAUGGUUUCUUUCAAGUUUAUUCUAAGUUUCACAUUAUUGUGAUAUUAAGUCAUCGUGAGCUCUAUGAAAUCAUAAUUUAACCCCAAUUAAUUUUUCUUAUCAAUGAAUUAUGUCUAUCAUUAAAGAGUCAAAGAAAUAUAAGCAAUAAAGAUUUCUGAGAGUAGACAAAACAGUUUUCUCCAGAAUUGAUCACACCAAUUAGUUAACAAUACCAAAUGACAGAUGCUACAUAGGAGAGUCUGGAUGAGAAAGAGAAAGAGAAAGGGAGAGAAAGAGAAUUUAUGUGAUUACAAAUAAUUGCUUAAAAAAUUAAAAAUAUUUUGGAUGUCACAACCUGAUUUAUUUAAAAUAGAAGUUCUUGAGUUUGGGGGAAAUGGACUAAGUUCUGUUUGUUCUUUCUCUCUUUCCCUCUCUUCUUUUCUUGUUUUAGGAAGAAUUAUACAUUUCAGAAAAUACUUACAGCAUAUAUACAACAAAUGAGAAAGGGAGGGAGGUGAGGGAAGCAGAGAGAAAGAGACAGAGAGAGGACUGAAAAGGUUUUCUAGUGGAUACCAAUCUUUUAAUGAUGACUGGAUAAAAUUCUAAAGCACGUUUGUGCACAUCUGUGUGAUAUAGUGAUUUAAAUGAAAGCAAUUUAGGACGUAAGCUCAAGGACAAGCAACCAUGACAGAUGAUCAGGAAUAAUCACCAUCCCCACACUGCAGUGGUGCUGAUGAUAAAGACAGAGAUACAUUAGGUUAAUCAAGGGCUCCUAACUUUAGAAGAGUUUAAGAUUAAUUGUUACUUUUACAUAGACAUCAAUCGUCUUCAGAAGUACCUGUCUAGAAAGAACUCUUCCUCCCUGUCAGUCACCUCCACCUACCAGCCAGGUAAGAACCCCACUCCUACAGAGCAUUCUAGCUUGCUGGGAAUGCAGUAGAACAUCCUGGUUUUCUAGGAUUGACAGCUGCAAUUAAAGGUAAAUAUUUGUUGUGUACACUUAUAAGAAAAUUGUAUAUGGGCAUGUGUAUCCAUAUAUGAGAGUUUCAAUUUUAAAACUUAAAAGACAGCUUUUUCUUUUAAUGGGAAAAGCAUUAAAUAGUUAGGAGACCUGGACUUAAUUUGGCCUCUAAGUAAUGAUUGGAAGGAAUGCUAUACUUUAUAGAGUAUCGAUUACAUGGAGUUUUUAUAGAAACUAGGUGGUCUAAAUGAGAACAAUUUUAUUAUGCAGAUUUUAUCCAGGCAGAGGGCUUAUAUAACCAAGCUGUGUGGCCAGCUUCAAGCCAUCACCUGGGUUCUAUUCCUUUUAAUGUACUGCACAGAAACUUUACAAGCAGAGAUGAUAUGUAGACUUUGACUACUACCAUGUUUAAAAAUUCAGCAUAUGAUAAUAAACGGUUAUUCUAAGGCAAGAAUGCAAGUGAAAUAGUAUUCCUAGGGUAUUAGAGAAAGGGAGGUCCAGUACUCAAACAUGCUGGUACACACCUAACAUAAAUUGUCUCACCACUAGAGAGGCUGAGACGUGGGAUCUAGACAUUGCAGCCAGCCUGGCUAUACAUAGAAAGAGAAUGAAAAACUGAAGAAAUGUUAAAGUACAGCUGUGUGACUGCUGGGCAACUAAGGGCUCCCAUUGCCAAGCCUGACAGCUUGAAUUACAUCCCCAUAGUUGCAUGGUAGAAGGAAAGAACCAUCUCCUGAAAGGUUACAUCUGACGUCAGUAUGAAAGGCCUAGCAUGCCUGCACCCUUCACCCCAAAUAGAUGUAAUUGAAAAAAAUAAAAGGUUCAUUUAUAUUUAAAAUGUCUGCAAAUAAAGGUGAGGUUCACAUUGGAGUUAUACUGGUUCAUUUUUAAGUCUUAUGAUUACUGUAAACAUUUCAGUUUGUACAUGAUUUGUAAAUGAACAGCAUAAAAUAUUUAUGACGUAUUUGUAUCACACUAAACCAUGGGUUUCUUAUACAUAAACGUAACUGAUAUGUACAUUAAAAAUCAGUUGUUUUUUGUUUCAAUUACUGGCAAUUUUAUUAAAUAGACUACUAGGAUGUUUGGCUUUCACAAAGCAAGAUGAUAAGGCAUUUUAUAGGGCGAAUAAUGUAAAUUACAACAGUGCUGAAAGAGAACAGUAUCAUUCCUUUGGAUCUCAUCUCUAAAGUGAUGACUGUCUUUCAGUCCAGCUUUGACCUGACUGUCCUGUUUCCCUUCAUUGGGGACCAAGGGCCAUGGUCUCGGCUGAGCUCUUUACCAUAUUUACUGAAUUUUGACCUCUUUGAUGUUUCACCUUUCCUACUGAGAUGGGCAGAGGACCCUGCGAUUAUAAUAAUAAAUAUGAGAGAGAGAGAGAGAGAGAGAGAGAGAGAGAGAGAGAGAGAGAGAGAGAGAACGAACUUGUAAUGUGAGCUCUUAACCUGUCUGACUGGGAAGGGAAAAUUGCUAGUGCUCAAACAUUUCAUGAGACUUCUUGAACAGAGGAAUGACACCCCAAUGGAAAGAGACAUGGACGUGCAAUAAGGCGCCUUGAGACCACCAACCCCAGUCAUUCUGGAAUUAUCUUCCAUCGUAUUUCACAGAGGGCAUGUGCUCACUUUGGAAGGGGAAGCGGCAGUCAUGUUUCCUAUUGCGAGUGUGACAUUUCUUACUUCUCGCAUUUUGAAAAGAGUCAUAUUCACAGCAGUAAAGAAAACUAAUUUAUAAGUGUGCUUAUGAGUAUGUUCCUACCCCAGACCCCUAAGAUAAUUUCCAGCUGGCUAGAAGUAAGGCUAAAACGUGUGUGGUGGCACCAUCUCCUUCCCUCUCAUUUGUCAGAUCAAUGCCCACAUCCCAAUUCAGGUCAAGGCAUUCGGUGGAGGAGAGGGCUGCAGAGUGACUUUGAGAUGCUCUAUUUCCCACACUUGCCCUCUGGAAGGACUGGCAGAGGCAGUCACUUAAAUUAAAUACAGGUCAUCAAACAAGAUAUACAGUCUAUUUCUAAAACAGACAACCCCAGCAUCCCGAAUCCCUGUGGCCUUUUACUGAGGCGCACUGCGCUUCUUUUUCAUGUGCCUCUGUCAAUUCAUGUUAAAGUUUGCUUUGCUUAAAAGUGAUAUUUCAUGUCUUCUCUGACCCUCUUGCUCAAAGCAAAGAGAUUGCUUUGGUUUAUUUAUGACCCGCUAACCUUAAGCAAAGCUGAAAUCCUUAAUGCUUCCAAAGCCUCGGGAGGAGAAAGAAAAGCUAAAGUAAAUUCGGUGUUGGUGCAAAUCAGUUUGAACCUGUCCAAAAGACCUUCCAAAAUUAUGAAGGGAGUAUAGUUGGAUAUGUGUACCCAGAUGACAUAUUUCUGGUGGCUCUCAAUUCAGGAAAAAAAAAUGUGCAAGGAGACAGAUGGUUAACACCAAUUUAGAAUCCUGGAAUCAUAACAUUUUCUAAAAUUAGUCAAAUAAAACCAUACACCUUCUAACAGAGACUAUAAACAUUUCAAUACUGUUCAACAUUAGUAUUUUGGCCAAUUAUUAAAUUGGGAAAAUAACAAUGUAGGCGAGGUUAGCGACUGAAAUAGUUUGGAAUCAGCAUUGUAUAAACCAGAGGAAUGGUCAGCUAAGUCAGCAAGGAGACAUUCUCCCUCUGUAGAAUACAGUCCUGAAGUUAUUCUCUUACUGUAAGGCAGGCACAGCAAGGGCAAAGAAACUUUUCACCACGGAGAGAGAAUUUAAACUAUCAAGAGGAUCUUGUCAUCAAAAACUAUAGCCAUGAGAAGGGUACAUGGAUUAUUUUGGGUAAAUAAGAGUUCAUCAUUGCCCAGCUGCCACACUAAGAUGUGUAUGUGAGCGAUGCGCAGUUUAAUCUGAUUUCUUACUAGGCACCAACCGCUUUCAGUCUCCCAAGAACUUCAAGAUGGUAUUCUCCAUAUUUUUAUGCUAAGAAUUUGAGAAAUUUGGACUUUUUUCUACAGUGAAUUUUAGAAGGUUCCGGAAACCCCUCACGCUGUUGUGCUUUGCUACUAAUUGUGAUUUGGAUGGAGUUUGCUUGAUCGUAGUUCCAAGUUUGUACAUUGAGAUAGGGCACUGAUCAUGACUUAGAGUGUCUCACCUCCGCACGUUUGGACAGAUGCUAGUGGAUGUCAGAAGCAAUGACAGUUAUGUAUAGACCAAUGGGAUGCUGUCACCAAUAUAGUAGUGCAAUGGGCAAGCAAGGGAACAUGAGUCAUAUGCAUUCAGGUGAAACUGAUAGCAUAAACAGAUGACCCCAGGAGGACGUGCUUUUUUUUAAUGCCACGAGACAGUCUUCUGCAGGAAAGCUGCCUAUCUCAAAGGAAACCACACAGUUAUAUUCAGAGUAGUCAAUUUUGUGUCCCAUAACUAUCUGAAGUCUGAAUGCAUACCAUCAGCAGAUUAUUGCCUUAUCUACCUCAAAACACCAAGUAGAGAGACUUGUCCUGUUUACAAGAUACUAAGCGACUACAGGUUUAGCAUACAAUACUCUAAGUGAACAAAACGUAUAUGCAUAAAAAUUUGGACUGAAUGGUUCACCAAAAUUUUAUUAAUAGUUACAGUAACUUGUAUAAAACCAGAAAUAGUUGCAAAGUCAGAUUUUAUUUUUAUAUUCAUUUUCUCAUAGAAUCCUACAGAAAUAGAAUGUAGAAAUUUUCUACCUUGGUUCUGAGGAUUACAAAGGGAUUUUUGUUUAAAUUGAUUAUUGAAAUCAGUUAUAAAGACAUGUUUGAUACAGUUCAUACUAAUUCGUAAAUGCAUUUUACUCAGAGAACUCCUAGAAAAAUGGAUAGAAGUUAUUUCCAGAUCCUCUAAAUCAUAAAAUAUAACCAUGUUAGGACAUUAAUAGCCAAAGUGAAACAAGUUGAGUCUCAGCUAGUAUGCAUAGGUUCUAUUAAUUUUCAUUGUCGUUUAAAAUUCUGUGUCAUAGGCAAAGAAAAAUGCUUUAAAUUGGUUGGGUUUACUUGUUCUAAAAAUAAGUAUAUUUUAAGGAAAUUAUACUAAUUAAAAUGCCUAUUGUAUACUAAAUGUUUAUUCCAUGCACAUCGUAAACAUAGAUCAAAAUUUUUAGCAAUUUAGUUUGAGAAAACUUAAGUGGUUUCUGUCUGAUUUUUGCAUAACCUACAUGCUUCCUUGUUGUUCUAAUUAUAUGGACACCAAUAUUUAAAUUAUGAGAUACUUAUAUACUGGUUUUUUUUGUUUUGUUUUUUUAAUAGAUUAAAUUUUGUCGAAUGAUAAAUUUUCUCUGCCUUUAACAGCCUGGAACUAAGCCCCCCCAAAAGGUUUUUUCUUCUUCUUUUUUUACUUUUGGAAAAAAAUCAGAUCCUUUUCUUUGACACAGCAAGAAGUGGAGGUUUGCCAAAGUCUGGGCUGAAGGAAUCCCGCUUCUUUUCUUCCGUACUCUUUUGAAAUGGUUUAAAAUGUGUGACAUGUUUGGUUAAAGGAUUGGGCUUCCCUCUGCCUCCCGCCUGCUCCAGAUUCCCACAGAUACUGUAAAAUCAGCACACCUCUGGCUCACAGGUUGCUUCAGUGAACAUUCAACGCUGUCGGUGAGUUUGGAAUUCAAAUAAAAACCAUCGACCGUUGAUUGUACCCUAUAGCUAACCAUUAUCUACUCCGCGGCUCUCUGCGUUUGCUGAAGACAAAACCGCAAGGCAGGACCGGACAGGAUUCUCUCCGCCUGUGCAGAGAUGAUGUUUACAAAGGUCACAAUCAACAUUCAUUGCUGUCGGUGGGUUGAACUGUGUAGAAAAGCUCACUGAACAAUGAAUGCAACUGUGGCCCCGCUUUUUGCUGUCACAAUCAACAGACGUUCCCUCCCUAAGAGAGGUCCUGGAGGUAUUAACACAGUUUCUCCGUUUAACUUCUAUUGUUUGAAUUUUCCAGGUUUGUUUAUUCUAUUCUUAUCAAAUCCUAUUUCUGUGAGGAAGUCAUUGAUUUAUAUAAGAAUAGGGCUUUGCUAUGCUCCCGAGGGCUACAAAUGCGGUACUUCUCAAAAAUGCUAAAGUGGUGGAUACCCAAAGUCAAUACUGAAUUGGCUCGGCUUCUUGCUGUAUAGUGCAGGUGAAAGGAAGAACCAAAGUAUCUUACUUCCGGUUCCGCUGUCUGUCACAUUGUUGCAUCACAAAAAGUAGCCAUCCCCUCAUCUUUCAUUAGAAUUCCUGGUCAAAAUGGGCUUGAAACAAGAGCUAAUUCUUUUGCUCUACCUAUGGAAUGACUGAAAUGGCUCCACUCCGUAGGUAAGCAGUGGGAAAGUGCAUGAAUAGCUAAGCAGUUAUUAUCCAGGGGCUCUUUAUAAUCAUACAGUAGAUUCAUUCCCCGGAGAGACCUCAGAUUGAAGAUUAUAUUUCACCAUCUCUAUCUUUCUUCUUCCAAGAACCUGAUCUGAAUUGGUAGACCUAAUUCCAUGACGUCAAGUUAAGUGUGCGUGCGUGCAUGAGCACGUGUGUUUGUGUGUGUGUGUGGGGGGGGUGCGCGCAUGCGCGCCCGCAUAUGUUUCCCAACUUCCUAACUAGUUUGACUCUAUGUUUCAAAGAGCACAUCUGUCAUCAAGGUUCAUCACCACCAACGGUAAGUACAAUGGUUGGUUUAUUAUGAUUUAUAACAAGAUGUUCUACAUACAGUGCCUAGGGACCUAGAAGAUUUUAAUUCAUUGGGAGCUGUAUCAAACUCAUUGUCCUUUCUCUUUCUUGAUCGUUUAAUUCUGAUAUACAUUCAAUUCACACUACAGAAAUCCAUUCCUGGGACCUUGCUCUGGUGUUCAGGAUAUUUUACAGUAUUUUACACAGUUAGUUCACGAGUUUUUGCCCUGCUUACGACACCUCUGCAUCCGUCAUAACUCCUUCCCCUACCAUCUGGAUCUUUCCAUUUAACCAAUGACAAGGUUCUAAUCUCAACAAAAAACAAGAAGCUCAAAGAAAAAGAAUGUUUCUGUUCUUGCCUCAUUGCUUAAACAGCUCCCUUCUUUUUUCUGUCUUAAAAAGCUAUGGGUUUGGAAAUGGCACAUAAUUAGUAACGCGCAGAAGAGUUUCUAUUUGUUCAUUUUCUCAUUACUCCUCUUCAAUCUACAAUUUCACAUCUUCAAAUGUUGCUCUCUCCCAAUUGUGUAGAUUUUUUUUUUUUAGUGGAAGCUGGUCUUGGUGAAACCAAAUCACCAGUAGUAUUCAAAUUGGCAAGCAAAUAUCAGACUUUUCUGCCAACUGCCCUCCUGGAUCUACCCUCCAUAUUUGGUAUUUGGAAUUCUUCCCCACAAAUGUCAUAACAUUUCUGACAUUACUCACAUUUAGGGUUUUGUCUACCAUGAUGGUACCCUGGUUUGUGGGAUGGUCUGUUGUUGGCUUUACUUGUCUUCUGUUAUGUUUCUUCUGUAUAACUUUGAUGUGCAUUCGUAUAUAAAUGUUUGUAAGUCUAAGUGCACAUGCGUGUGUGUAUGUGUGUAGACACCCACAGUUAACAUGAGCUGUCUUUUUGCAUCACUCUCCACUUUAUUGAGUAAGGCUCUUUUACUAGCCUGGACUUUGCUGGCAGGAGUGCUGGGACUCUGUGUGUCACACCUGACUGGCCUGGACCAGGGUUCUGAGGGCAUGGAUUAUAGGCCCCAUGCUUAUAGAGCUGGCACUUAUCCACUAGCCGUCUAUUCUGCCCCUGUAUUUGCUUUUGAAGUCACUUAAAAUCUGAAAGCUAGUAUCCUAGUAAGAUACUCCCUUGUAUUCUCUUUUCUUAUGCUUCAGGAACUAAAGGAAUGUCCAACAGAGGCAUGAUGUUUACACCCGCUGAGAUGUUGUUGUUGUCUAAGUCUUAGUCUCCUGGUUGGAUACCCUAAACAUCCACUGUCUUCUGCUCUUGGGCCUAAAUCUCACUAUAACCACAUUUACUUCUGAUCUUUCCCCACAGGAACAACACUCUCAAAGAUCUCAAGAUCUUGUGGCAAUCCCAUGUUGCUACCUCUUGUUUUAUCUUCUUCCAAGCAUAUAAUACCAAAGGUUUGAAGGUGCUCUCUGCUUUGUGUCCUACUAAACACCCAAUUCUUAGGUACCCUGAAAUGUAUUGCACUGGCAUGGAGUAUUCCAAUAUUCCCAUUAACACGAUUUCUAAUUUUGAGCAUCUACUUAUAUUUUCUCCCUAUUAUUUUUAAAGGCUAUUUUACAUUUAUUUAUUUUUAUUUUAUAUGUAUUUUAUUUUCUAUGCAUUUAUAUGUCUGUCUGCAUGUAUGUACGUGUAACACAUGUGUGCAUGGUACCUAGGAAGAUGCCCUGGAAUGAGUCACAGGUGGUUGUAAGCCACACCAAUCCCUGUCCUCUGGGCAUCUAGCAAGGGCUCAUAACUGUUGAACAAUUUCUCUUGCCCUUAAAAGGGAAGGUUUUUAAGUAGGAUAAUGCUGUAAAACCUUCUGAGGUACCCUUGACUAGAAUAACAUAGCCUACUAUGUAUAACAGAUAAAAUCUUCUUGUGAGAACAUUUGAGUAUUAAGUAGAUGAAACAAAGAUGAAAUUGCUCACAGGGUCCCAAGAUUUAUUUUAUUUCUUUAAGGAAUUACAUAUUCUUCUCUAAAACAAUCUAAAAUAAAUGUAAAUCAAGAUGUGACAGGAACUUUUAUCAAUAUUCCCAUAAAGCAACACAGGGAGAAGAAAAUGGUGGAAUACAUUGCUUGGAUUCAGUGGGCCCCAUUAAUGAGAAGGCAACCACCACAAGGAGGGCAUGUGGGCAAAAAAUGGGGGAGCCUUAGGAAGCCGGAUAUAUUAAGCCUUUCAUAUAAAACUGAGGAAAAGCAGUAACUCGCAAGGCAAACAAUGGGAUGGACAGCGUAGUCAAGGAAUGAAUGUGAGUGCUACAGAGGUGAUUUAAAAUUUUGCAUCCUUUGUGAAUAUUCCAAUGUGAAGUAGUGUGAUGUAGGAGUCUUUUAGUAACGUGGGCUGAGGAAGAAAGCACAGCACUGUGCGAUGCCAGCACGAGUGCGUUCAUCUUACGCUUGACAUGCUUAUGUCAGUUCCUCACAUUGAUGCCCUUCAUUCGGCCUGCUUUUUGAACAGGUGAUCUUCAUCUCCCCAGGUUAUGGUGUGGUAGCCUGGGAAGCACACCUGUCCCCAGGUGAGCCACUCCUGGGGCUUGGCUGUGAUUUACAUAUUCCCUGCUCCUCUUAGCAACUUAAACUAAAAUUUACUAAAACCUUCAUACCAGGUAGAUACAUGCCGUAGCAAAGAGUCAUGAAGAUUCAGAGUCGUCAAGCAAUUAUCUUUGUGUGUAUGUUAGCAAGUCAGAAUAAGAAACGAAUAGCAAAGAAAAAACAAUAGGCGGCAGGGAUGAAGUGUUUUGUCCACAUCUUUCCUCAGGACGUGGAUGAAUGAUAGUACAAAAAGUUUCCACUCCAGAAUGCGUUCGCUCAGCUAUUUUUAUUCUGCUUCUUGAUAUAUAUUGUGAUUCUAUAUGAUCUGUAACAUUUUGUACUAAAUUCUACUCUAGAUAACUUUAAUGGUUUUGUUAGGUAAGCCCUUCCGCUCUUGGCCUUGUUCAGGAAGCUAUAAUAUGAUGUAAACUUUAUGGAAACAAUUUGGCAUGAUUAACCAAUAACUUUUAAAUAUUUGACAGGAGUGAUUUACUUUCUGGGAUUCUCAUUCGUUAUUAUUUUUGUUGCUAAAUAGUGGUUAUGAACAUUUGUGAAGUACAGUAUGAUCUUUGACAUAUCUAUAGCAAGAGAAAGGGCACACCAAGCUAGUAAACUAAUAAACACCAGGCUAAUAAACUUAUUCAUUACCUUAGCACCUUUGUUUCUCCUCCUCCUGCUUCUCCAUCAGUUGCAGUUACAUAUUAUCUGUUUGUAGGAUUUUUUAAAUUAUUUAUUUAUUAUGUUCACUGCUGAUUACCCUAUAUGUAUGUCUUUUGUGAGGGUGUAGGAAGUCCGGGAACUGGAGGUACAGACAGAUGUGAGCUGCCAUGUAGGUGCUAGGAAUCGAAUCUAGACCCUCGGGAAAAGCAACCAUGCUCUUAAUCACUAAGCCAUCUCCCCAGCCCCACCAUUGCUUCUUAUAGUGAUGUUAAAAUCUAUACUUUUAUUAUUUUGAAAUGUCUAGAUGGUAUGAUUAAGCAGAUGAUAUAAUAAUUCACUAAAGCUUUUUCCUCUAGUUGAACCAAAAUUUAGUGAGACAUCUCUUUCCCAGACUCUGUUCUCCACUCAGCCUUUGGUAAUAAACCUUCUAUUCUUCAAUAAAAUCAUUAUCUUUAAGUUUCAUAUUUAAGCAAAUCAUGUAGCACUUGCCUUUCUAUUUCAUUGAUUACAAAUUCAUCCAGGUAUAUCAUUGUUGACAAAAUUUCCUAAGCCUGUAUAGUAUUUCACUUUCUACACAUGUACACACACACACACACACACGCGCCGCACACACACACACUAUAUAUAUAUAUAUAUAUAUAUAUAUAUAUAUAUAUAUAUAUAUAUAUAUAUAUCAGGGUUUUACUACUAUGAACAGACAUCAUGAUCAAGACAAGUCUUAUAAAGGGCUGACUUAUAGGUUGAGAGGUUCAGUCCGUCAUCAUCAAGGCGGGAGUCGGCAGCAUCUGCGCAGACAUGGCACAGGCAGAGUUAUGAGUUUUACAUCUUCAUCUGAAGGCUGCUAGUGGAAGACUGACUUCUAGGCAGCUAGAAUAAGGGUAUUAAGCACACACCCAUAGUGACACACCUACUCCAAUAAGGCUAUACCUCCCAACAGUGCCACUCCCUGGGCCAAGCAUAUACAAACCAUAUAUAUAUGGCAUGGUUUCUUUACCCAUUCAUGGGUUGAAGGACACUUUCUUUGUUUCCAUAUCUUGGCUAUUAUCAAUAAGGUUUAAAUGAAGAGAGUACAAAUACCUCUUUGAUAUACCUUCCUCAGUACACACACACACACACACACACACACACACACACACACACAAGAUGUAGGAAUAUAAGGACUUACAGUAUAGGGAUUCUGUUUUUCAUUUUUUGGAAGAACCUCCAUCCAGUUUUUCCAAAUAGUUGCACUAAUUUACAUCUAAAGUUCGCAGUAGUUCCCUGUGUCUUUAGUCCUUGUCAUUGCCCUCUUUGCUCUUGUCACUUGCUACCAUGUAUUCAUUUGAUAAUGUCCAUUCUAACGGGGGUGGGUGUAAAAUCAUUGUGAUUUCAAUCUGCAUUUCCUUGAUAGGGGUGACAAAUCUUUUCCACAUAUGUGCACUUUAAACAAUUUUAAGUAAAUUAUUUAUUAUUAUUUAUGUUUCUUUAAAAGAAUCUGAGUGUUAGAUGUGAAGGACAUAAACAUCUUAAGAUUGUACUGUUCACCUAUAUAGGCUUGAAUUCAAAGCACAAUCAAACAUUAAAUUUUAAUUACUCAUUGGGCUCUGACUUUUAAUGAUGUACACGGAUUAUUAUCACAUGAACUCAUUAUGGAACGAUGAGUUUAGGGAAAUUUAUGAUUUACAAAUCUUACUGAUUGUUGACUGAAAGAUACGUACAAAAUUCACAUCCUAGAUUGUGCAUCUAAAGACAAUGAGUUUUGAGACACCAAAUCCUGUGUGAACCAUAUGGAUCUGGUCGUUAGUCCUUUCUUCUCAGCUCCCAGAGUGCUACCAUCGCAGCUUACCAUUGCAUCAUGCUUAAGAUGGACUUGUAAGUAACAGUAGGAAGAUAUGGUGAGAAACGCACAGAGGAACGCAAAAUGUUCUCAAAAUUCAAAGGCAUUCUCAGGCUGUUUAGUUAUAUUUCAUAACUCUUUCUUCUUUGUGUAGUUAAAAAAAAGAUUAUCUCCUUUCCACGCAUUGUUUUCUCUCAAGUACAAUUAAUUAUUAACAAAUUCAUUUAGUUAAAAACCCUAUUGUUGACUAGACUCUUUUUUCAAAAGUUUUCUUAUGGGGCUGGGGAGACGGCUCAGGGAUUAGGAGCACUGCUACUCUUCUGGCAGGUCUUGUCCAGAACCCAUAACAGGCAACUCACAGCCAACUCUAGACAAUUGGAGUCCUUUUCUGGCCACCAUGGGAACCUGUACAUAUGUAGCAUAAUCUUCACAAAUGCACAUACACAUGUGCAUGCACAUACAUGUACACAUAAAAAGUGUGCUCCCUUUUGCACUGCUGUGCUUUAUUUCAAGCCACAAUAUCUGCUUCGUUGCUGUCCUGAACGCUAAAAGCUUUGGUUGAAAAAAUAAAUAAAUAAACAACAUGUUACAUUUGAGAUUUGAUGAAUUUACAAAGUUGAAUGGAAUUACCUUUAUUUAAUGCACACUAACAGAGGUACAUUGUUCCCUUUAAUCCACACAAAACCAUUAGAGAUACCAGUUUAUAAAUAGGAUAUAACACAUUAGUGCACCAAAUGUCACAGCACAGGCCAAGCGAGGACUUGAGAGCUGUACUGAAAAGCUCAUGUUCCUGGGCUGAGGGUGCAGAUUCUGAUGAUUAAGGAGUCUAAGAAACCAAACGAUAAUGGAUUCCUUCUGAGGCAUACCUGGGUUGUCUUUAAGGGUGUGGCUCCUAGAAGAUCAACCAUGUUCCAGUGGAUGGCCCCACUACCAAAACUAUAUGGAUGAAUCGAGUUGGAAUCAACGGGUUAUUAAAUUUAAAACGGUUUGUCAAAAGAGACCAUGAUUUGGAGAAGGUCAAGAUAUGACAAGACUUACAGGAGGGAAUGGGAGUUCAUAUGAUCAAAAUACAUUGUACAAAAUUAUAAAACACCUAAUAAAGCAUUAAAAAUAAAAAUAGUUUGUCUUGCUUAUUCAUAAAUUAACUUAAUCUGUACAAGUCAGAGGGCUUUCCUUCCUGGUUUCUUCCUUCUUUUCUUUUCUUUCCUUUCCUUUCCUUUCCUUUCCUUUCCUUUCCUUUCCUUUCCUUUCCUUUCCUUUCUCCUCUCUCUCUCUCUCUCUCUCUCUCUCUCUCUCUCUCUCUCUCUCUCUCUCUCUCUCUCUCCAUCUCUCUCUCUCUCUCCAUCUCUCUCUUUCUUUCUUUCUCUUUUCUGCUCUAAACUUUAUACAAAAGAAACAUCAAGCUUGUAGCAGCUGUGUAAUAAGUUUUGAAUGAAUACGUAAGUUAGAAAUAUGUCUACUUAGCAGCAAGCAGUACGUGUGGGGAAGUGGAGGUAACCUUGUGAAGGAAAAAGUAGAUGGAGAGCGAGACGUCCCAGGCUCCUGUGACUCCUUAGAGUCCUGAUCUUCCAUACAAUGCAUUAGAUCUAAGAUGGCUCCUCGAACAUCAGUGAGACAGCAGAAAGCAACCGAGGCGAAGGCAGUGGAUGCUUCCCCCAUCUUUGAGCAAGCCAUAACAAGUGACAAUGCUCCCCACAACCUGCUCCUUCUGAGGAGCCUCAUCAGACAGAGCUUUUAUGGGAGCGAAGUGACAGUGUGACGAGAUAAGAUUGGCCAAGAACUCAUGGCUUGGUAUUGGUUAAAACACUGCACACAAAUGUAUGUGCUCUGCAAUGAACUCAGCUCUGCACCCUGAUGCUGGUCCCCCAAAUCUCAUUCCUGGGAUUGGUCACAUGACUCUUUUGCCUCUCACCCUCAUCCUCCAUUCUGCACACAGCAGUGUCUGCAAAGGAAUAACUCUCAGAACUCAAGAAUUUCAGCCAUAGGCUGUGAGUCAAAACUGAGUUGUGUAGUUCUUCGAAAAAUAUAGACUCCAUAUAUGUGUGUGUGUAUGUACAUAUAUAUGUAUAUAUAUAUAUAUAUCAUAAUGUUUCUAAAUUAUCAGACCCUAAUAUUUAUGUACAUAUUUAUCAUAUGUGAAUUUAACUACUCUAUUUACAUUUUUUAAAAAAUGUUUUUUGUUGUGUGUUUGUGCAUGUGUGCAUGUCUGUGCUGCACCAUGGCUCACAUAUGAAGGUCAGAGGACAACUCGCUGGACUCUGUUCUUUACUUUCACUCUAUGGGUCCUGGGGAUCAAACUCAGAUAACCAGGCUUGGUGGCAAGCGCCUUUACCUGCUGAUCACAUUGUUGGAUCUAACUUACUCCUUAGUCAAUCUAUGAACCCUAUUAUUGCUUCAAAUAAAAAAAAAACAUCAUUGGGAGGGGAAAAAAAAGAAAAAAGGAAGGAAUCACAAUUUUUAAAAAGCCACCAGCUAUGACGCUAUCCAUGCCGUGAUGCUAACAAUGUAGGUAGACUCUUCAGGAUCAGAAAGCAAACGGUGUACCCACUGAACAUCCCUAUUUGGUUCGUACUGCUUACAUUAAAAUACAAUUAGGUUAGGCCUGGAAAAUGUGAUGUAUGUAAAACAGAUGGGAAAUCUGGGGCACUCAUUGUAAUUCUGAGUAGUUGAAAGUUUACAGAUGUUUAAAGAAUUUUCUAAGAUUACUUUGGAUUCCCGUGGUUAUUUUUAUCCGAAGUACUGAAUUUAAAUGUGAACUCUCACCCCUCAUCCUUAAGGUAAGGAUAGCCUGUAGACAUAAGCUGAUUUUUUUUUUUUAAUCUUGAAGAUGUAAUAAGAAGUUUCGCUGGUAAAGUAGCAGUGAAAUCUGCAUUUUCACAAAUCCGUUUACUUUCUGCAAUGCCAUCAGAACAUAGUACAGUUUUGUUAGAUCUUCAUCAUAUUUUCCAAUCACUUCGCCAUCAUCCUUAGGCAAAUUUAUUCCCUUUUUCAGCUCCUUUAAGAAAGCAGAUUGUGAAUACCUUCAGCCUUCCUUAACUAGACAUUUGCUAUGCAAAAAAUGUCCUGAAAUAUCAGUACCAACAGGAAUAAAAUAUUCCCGUGCAUUCACUGCCUGAAUUUCUCUAAGUCCCGGGCAGACAGCUUGGAACCAUGAACAUAAAGUCUUAGCUUGCAUUGCCAGAUCACACAAAGCCAUUUUUAAGAUGCCUGGUCUAUGCUAUCAGUCCUCUUACCUUAGGCAACCCCCUCCAGCUGCUUAAGUGCUAACACAUGCUUUAUAAUUGCAGGGAAUGAGAUGGUUUGCACAUUAAAAUUAGAUGUGGAAUGAAAGUGCUUGAACAUGGCAAAACAGAAGGGAGUAGUGGGUUGAGUUCAGAAGACAGUCUGAGCAUGCCAAUACUCACACAGACUUCAUUCCAAGAUUUUAUUCUCCAUUCGAAUUCGUAGGUGCAGCCUCUGAUUUCACUGCAGAAGGGCAGAAAAUGCAUAGACUCUUUCAAAGAAUAUAUAUCCCUGUGAAAACACACCCUCCAAUUUAUAGAGUUUAUAGCCAUGAGCAAUCUCUGAGGCAAACAUCAGAGAUAGCCUUUGAAAGCCAAGCCAAGUAAUGUAAUGGCCACUAAUGACAUUUGUAGCCUUCCAGGCUUCUAUAGCAAGAGUAAUGAGAUCCCAGGCUCUGGGCCGUAAGGUGAUCACCUCAGCUUUGCAAAGAAGGAUUUCUGUGGCAGGUCUGGUGCUACCCAGCUGCUCAGGCAUGUUGUAAUGUCAGAAGGCAAGGGUGGUGAAAUCGCCUUUCUCCAGACCAUUAGAUGGCUUUGACAACUGAUAAUAGACACAAGCUAAUACAGCAGUGAAGAUGGACCCUCCUUUAUUAAGUAGGGGGGCGGGAAUCAAACAUUGUGUAAAACCAGGGUCCUAAAGCACUGACAAUUAAAGAAGAAUGUACACACGCACUUUCUUGGUUUUGAACCUGAGGUCAUGAGAUCAACAGGUGUUUACUCGAUUGUUUAAAAAGCAUGCGCCAGGAAGCCCUGCAUUUACCUGUAGAGUUAAGUGCUGGGGUACACCAGAGCCAGCGCAGACACACUUAUUAUCUCUUAGAACUUGAAGUCUACUUACGGAGGACGAUCUCAACCGCACUUCUAUAAUUAGAGGACUUCUAAAUAAAGGUCUAGAGAAUGAAAGGGAGACCACUGGAACCUUCGAGAAAGGAGAAAAAGUCAAAAGUAUAGCUGAGUUUUAUGAGUGUGCAAAACAAAGGUACACAUACCCCUGCCAAUAACUCAUGGGAAAAGUGAAACAUGUUUAAUAUAGGCAGGAGUAUCAUUGAUAAUGUGUGAAAAAAAAGACUAAAGCCUCCUUUAUGGAGACAGACAGAAUAAUCCAAGAUCUUUUCCUGCCGAGAAAUAAAACGACGCCGUUGUUAGUUGGUAAAGAGUUCAGUUCAAUCUAGUGAAGGUUUGAGGUGUCAAAGAGAUUCUAGGUCCAAGAUAUUUUAACAGCUUCACUGUGUAGAGUUAGUCUUGAGAUGGACCAGGCUGGUCUAGUGUUAAGUUUUCUUCUUGCGGAUGGAAAAGAGAAGUUAACAUGUUAAGAGUCUGGGGUCAGGAAACUAUCACAGGAAGCAUCCAAGCUAGAAAAAAUAACAGGUGCAUGCACCUAGGAUGGGAAAAGAAAAAUAACUCAAGGGAAUGAAAGAAGUCAGUGUGGGGACUGGAACAGAGCUCCCUGUGGAGGUAGGCUACCCCAGGGCCCAUUCCAGAAUAGACAAACCUCUAGAGUCUACUCUCUUUGGCACAAGAAAGUACUCUGUAGGCUAUGGGAAGAAAAAUAUGGAAACCAACCCAGCUACAAAAAACCCUUCACCUACAAUCUAUCUUGUCUGCCAAAUGUGCUGGGGCAAUAGUGGUACAAAACAUGUGGGAGCGACCAACCCAUAAAGGGAGGCCAUGAUCUAUACUGCCUGAAUGGCCAGGAACAGGAGACUUGAUAGGCCAGUGUACAACCAAACAUGACUGCCAACAGAAGUCAAUGAAAUGAUUCCUAAUGAUAUUCUGCUAUACACAUAGACCCAUCGAUUGGCACACUGUCCAGUAUUACCAGAGAGGCUUCCUCUGGCAGCAGAUGGGAACAGAUGCAGAGGCCCACAGCCAGAUAUUAUGUAGAGAGCUAGUCUAAAUUAGAAUUCUCUAUUGGGCCCUUCGCUUCAGAGCUCAGGGAAUCCCCCAGAACAGUGUGAGGAAGAAAUGUAGAAAUCAGAGUGGGUGGAGAACAUAAGAAUAUGGCCCAGUGAAUCAACUAAGCAGGCCUCAUAUGGGUUCACAGAAAUUGAAGCAAGAAACAUGAGGCCUUCGUGGUGUUUUGUAGAACUUGUAACAGUGGGGCCAGGCAUAUCUGCACCUCUUUUGCCUGCUCCUGGGAUUUUUUUUCUUCCUAUUGAGUUGCCUUGUCCAGCUUCAAUAUGAGGGCUUUUGCCUUGUCUGAUUGUAGCUUGUUUUGUUCUGUUUGGCUGUGGUCUCUGAGAGGCCUGCUAUUUUCUGAACAUGAAAUGGAGAAGCAGUGUUAUGGAAAAGAGGGAGAUGCAGGGAACUGACAGGAGGAGAGGGAGGGAAAACUGUGGUCAGGGUGUAUUGUGUGAGAGAAGAAUCUGUUUUAAUCAAAAAUAGAAACUAAUAAGUAAAUUAUAGGAAAAAAAAACAGAGAAACCAUGUUGAAACUUUGUCUAUUGUCCUGAACAGUAGAAAGCCCCGGACAAUUUUUAAGCCGUAGAGCAAGAAGAGUGGUUGGAAAUUGGUUUGCUACUUCAGAUGUUUACUUUAGGAGGCCAUUAUCCGUGCCUGGAAGAGAGACGGUGUAAUUAAAACCACAGAGUUCCAGUGCACCUGGAUGACAUCUAUAAUGGAGCAAAGAACUCCAGGCACCAAAAGAUUAAAAGACUCAAUAAUCUAUACACAUUAUUAUAUUUAACAAUUGUGCCGAUAAGUUUUUGACAACCUGACACAAACCUCCACAUACCCGGAAAAAGAGAAUCUCAGUUGGGGAAUUGCUUCCGUCAAAAUGGCUUCUGGGCAUGUCUGCAGGACAUUUCACUCACUGCUAAUUGAUGUCAGAGGACCCAGUCUCACUGUGAGGGUUAUCAUCCUGGGCAAGAAGCUCUGGGCCACAUGGGAAAGGUGGCAGAGGAAGCCAGAAGAAGCAAGUCAGUGAGCAGCAUUCCUCCGUGGGCUCAGAGGUUCCUGCCUCAGCUUCCCCAGAUGAUAGAAUGGAACCUACAAGUAAAACCAAUCUUUUUCUUGUUUUGGUGAAUGUUUUAUUACAACAACCAUUAGUGAAUUAGAACAACCACUGAGCCCAAACAUUGCCCACCUUAGGGGCAGGGAACUGCCUUUCAGAAUGUGGAUUUAUCAUUUCCUAACAUGUUUAAGGUUAUGUGUCAUUUCUGUUCCCUGUGCAUGAGCUGGACCUUGUAAAUUAAUCUAAUAAAUGCAGCAUAGGAGAUGGAGGGUCACUUCUAAAAGGAUGAUGUGGUCAGUAAGACUUCAAUGUUGGUUCCUUUUUUAUUUACUUUUGGGUUAGUCUCUUUGGGUCAACAAGCAUCUGUAUUGUGCAGUGGUCUUAUAGAGAGGUCUUCUAGGCAAGCACUGGAUCCUCUCAGGCACCCAGUGGAUAUUUUUCCAAACGGACUCUUUCCCACUUACAUGUUGGGAUGACAGAAGCAUAUCACGCUAACUCAGCAAGUGAUUGUGACAGCUCGAUGACAAACCCUGAACCAUAAGAACUCAUCCCCAAGACAUCAGAUUCGUGGUUGAAUUAGAUAGAUCAUUGGGACCAAAAAAAUGUGUGAUAAACAAUUUGGCUUACAGUUUCACUCCAUGAUUACUGGGCACAAAUUGCUUUCAGGACUGAGGCAAGGAGCAUAUGACAGAGGAACAUGGCAGCCCUAAGGCAACUGCAAAGCAAAAGAGAAAAUGGGGGGGAGUGUUUUCAAAGUACCAUACUCCUGCUCAGGAGGACAUCAUCAAUGAUUUAGGCCCCACAUAGAAGUGUCUGCAGUCUCCUAAUAUCACCAUUCUUUAAUACCUGUGCCUUUCAGACUAUGACCCUAACUCAUCGGAAUAGCAAGGUGAGAAGAAUAAUUUGGUCUAUCAAUGUGGACUGUUUGAUUGAUUAAUUUCACCCCUAGCUAUAGAUGAUUAAUAGAGAGUGUUUAUUUCAUGAAGCAAGCCGUUAAAUCUCAUUGGGUUAUACUUAUAUUGGUAUUAUUUCUAUUUAUAUUAUUUGUAUUGAGAGGCCAAACUGACUCUGUAUUGAGACUGGCCUCCCUCUUAAAGAAAAAUAAUAAGUUAACCUGUGAACUUGACCUGCAGCAGAACCCAAGCUGCCACCCACGUACCCUGAAGGACCCCUCGGCUUGUCCUUCAGCAGAGUCACUCCCGAGCUACUUCCUAGCAACAGAUUAGCAAAGAUUAGUCUGAUUGUUUCAGAAGGGCUUUCAGGCCAUUCAUGCUUGUGUAUGGUCUGGCUUUAGAGCACCCACUUGUCAGCAUACAAUAAUUAUUCAAUUAUAUGCCUGUCAGGCUAAGCCCAUCUUGCUUGCUCACCAUUUCCUAUAAAGCCUUGUCCCCCUAAGAGGAUGCACCCUAAUGAGAUCACAUCAGAAUUGGUUCCUUGGUGUUUAUCAGGAGCUCACGAACACUUCCUGGAACAACAGUAUUUGUAUUUGAAACUCCACAUGUAACUACAUUUUCACUACUUUAUCCUUUUCCUGUUUUUAACUGAACACCUCAGUAAGUAGCAGUAGUGUGUGCAUGCCUCUGUGUGUGUAUGUGUUUGCAAUCAUGUACAUGUGCAUGAGCAUGUGCGUGUGCGUGUGUAUGUGCAUGUGUAUGUGCCUGUAUGUGCUUUCUCAAUGAUUUAGAAGUUGCAAAGCAAAGAGAAUUGAUAAUGGAGAACCUGAUAUUCUCCACUGUGACCAUCUUCUUUGGUAUAUGCGAUUUUUUUAAUUGGAUAAUUUUUAUUAAAUUUCAAAUGUUAUCACAUUUCCCCAUUUCCUGUCCAUAAACCCCCUAUCCCAUGGCCCCUUCCCCUUCUAUGAGGGUGUUUUCUCAUUCACUCACCCACUCCUUCCCGCCUCCCUGCCCAGACAUUCCACUAUACUGGGGCAUCCAGCCUUGGCAGGACCAAGAGAUUCUCCUCCCGUUGGUGCCAAAUAAGGCCAUCCUCUGCUACAUAUUCAGCUGGAGCCAUGGGUCAGUCCAUGUAUAGUCUUUGGGUAGUGAUUUAGUCCCUGGGCGCUCUGGUUGGUUGGCAUUGUUGUUCUUAUGAGACUGCAAGCCCCUUCAGUUCUUUCUAUCCUUUCUCUAAUUCCUCCAACAGGGGUCCCAUUCUCAGUUCAAUAGUUUUCUGCUAGCGAUCGCCUCUGUAUUUGACAUGGUCUGGCUAUGUCUCUCAGGAGACAUCUAUAUCCUGUUCCUGUCAGCCUACACUUCUUAGCUUCAUCAAUCUUAUCUAGUUUUGGUGGCUGUAUAUAUAUGGGUCACAUGUAGGGCAGGCUCUGAAUAGCUGUUCCUUCAGUCUCUGCUCCAAACUUUGUCCUCAUAUUCCCUCAAAUGAAUAGUUCUUUCCACUUUUUAAGAAGGAGUGAAGCAUCUGCACUUCAAUCUUCCUUCUUCUUGAGCUUCCUGUGGUCUGUGGAUUGUAUUUCAGGUAAUUUGAGCUUUUGGGCUAAUGUCCACCUAUCAGUAAGUGCAUGCCAUGUAAUUUAGUUACUUCCCUCAAGAUGAUAUUUUCUAGUUCCAUCCAUUUUUGAAUUUCAUGAAGUCAUUGUUUUUUAAUAGCUGAGUAGUACUCCAUUGUGUAGAUGUACCACAUUUUCUGUAUCUAUUCCUCUGUUGAGGGACAUCUGGCUAUUAUAAAUAAGGCUGCUAUGAACAUAGUGGAGUAUGUGUCCUUGUUAUAUGUUAGAGCAUCUUUUGAGUAUAUGCCCAGGAGUGGUAUAGCUGGGUCCUCAGGUAGUAGUAUGUUCAAUUUUCUGAGGAAUCUACAGACUGAUUUCCAGAGUGGUUGUACCAAUUUGCAAUCCCACCAACAAUGGAGGAGUGUUCCUCUUUCUCCACAUCCUUGCUAGUAUCUAUUGUUACCUGAGUUUUGAUCUUAGCCAUUCUGAUUGGUGUGAGGUGGAAUCUCAGGAUUGUUUUAAUUUGUCUUUCCCUGAUGACUAAGGAUGUUGAACAUUGUUUUAGGUACUUCUCAGCUAUUUGAUAUUCCUCAACUGAGAGUUCUUUGUUUAGCUCUAUAACCCAUGUUUAAUAGGGUUAUUUGAUUUUUCUGGAGUCUAACUUUCUGUAUAUUGAACAAUCCCUGCAUCCCUGGGAAGAAGCCUACUUGAUCAUGAUGGAUGAUUGUUUUGAUGUGUCCUUGGAUUCAAAGGAGUACAUGGCAGGAAAUAAUCAAACUCAGGGCUGAAAUCAACCAAGUAGAAACAAAAAGAACUAUACAAAGAAUCAACAAAAAAGGAGCUUGUUCUUUGAGAAAAAUCCACAAGAUAGAUAAACCCCUAGCUGGACUAACCAGAGGGUUUCCAAAUUAACAAAAUCAGAAAUGAAAAGGGAGAUAUAACAACAGAACUGAGGAAAUUAAAAAAAUUGUCAGAUACUGCUACAAAAACCUAUACUGAACAAAACUUGAAAAUCUGGAUGAAAUGGACAAUUUUCUAGACAGAUAGCAGGUACCAAAGUUAAAUAAGGAUCAGAUAAACCAUCUAAACAGUCCCAUAACUCCUAAAAGAAAAAAUAGAAGCAGUCAUUAAAAGUCUCCCAUCCAAUUAAAAGCCCAAGACCAGAUGGGUUUAGUGCAGAAUUCUUCAUAGAAUACCCAAUUGCCAAUACUGUCCAAACUAUUCCACAAAAUAGAAACAGAAGGAACACUACCCAAUUCCUUCUAUGAAGCCACAAUUACACUUUUACAUAAACCACACAAACACCCAACAAAGAAAGAGAACUUCAGACCAACUUCCCUUAUGAAUAGCGACGCAAAAAUACUCACUAUAUAACAUUUUAAAAAGGUUGAGCUCUGAAGCGGAACUGUACCAUAGAAUCUGUUAUAUUUCCCACCUCUUCUGUGUGGAGACUGUAUAUUUUGACCUUCUAAUAUGCUAAGAUUUCUUAAAAUACACUUAUAAAAAUAAGUCUCAGUUGAUUUAAAGUAGAAUAAUCACUAAACCAUUGCAAAGAAAGUAAGUUGAAGUAUAGUACGAAUGUAUUCGUACUGAACAAAUAUCAAAGGACAUGGAUAAAUCUAAUUUUUCCUGCCUUUAGAUUGAAAUAAAUGUCUUAUUUCAGUCAAGGAUACAUUUUUCUUUUAUAAUUCAUAUGAUGCAUGUUACAUUUAUAAGCAGUUGUCAAUUAUAUUAUAUAAUGAUAAUAUUAGGAAGAAACAAGAUGGAUAUAGAUAUAGAUGGAAAUAGAGAUAGAGAUACAUACAGAUAUAUAGGAAUAUGUAAUAUAUUACCAUGUAAGUAGCAAAUAAUUAUACUUUGAGCAGAUAGAUAGCUCCAGUUACAAAACAUGAUAGAGCAAAAAUAAGGUUGUGGACAAGCAUUUCUGUGUAAAGUUGAUUUGUCAUUCCUAAAGUGUUUGUUGAAUAAAAAGAAAAGUUAAUUUGACUGAUAUUUGCUUCUUUAGUCCCCCAUAAGUGAUGACAAACGCUUGGUUUAUAUUUCACAGAGUACUACCAUGGAGUAUGGUGGGCUACACCUUAAGGUUUCUGCCUCGUGUUCAUAAGUGUUUUACCCAUUUGCAGAUUGUCUUUCUUAAAAGAUGGUCGAUCUAGGGAAAUAAUUAUUCUUUGAUUUGAAAUUCUUUACGUGGGGGUGGGGGUCUCGCACAGAUACUGUAUUAAAUGCACUAACAGAAAAAAGCUUCACUGUUACAGCAAACAAAGGCAGAAUUUUUUAAACUGACAGUUAUUCAGUUCCUUGAUGCUUGUGAUGGACAUUGCUUGUCAACUCAUACGAACUGUUGUGCUGAGUGUUUCCAGAAUUGCCUGCAAUAUGGGACCCUCUUCAGAGUGCUUCAAAUGCCCAUGUUUAUUUGAGAGGUUAACCAGAAUACAGAGAUUUGGAGAGUCGGAGACAAAGAGCUUCAGUAGAGAGACUUUAAGAGCACCUUCUUCUUGUUUUCUUAUCCUCAUGGAUAUUUGGAGUUGACAACACAGGGUUUAUACACGGGAGACAAACGAGCUUACCUUUAAAAGAUCAUUUAACUUAUCUUUAAAGAGAAGUGAUUUAAACGCACUGAAGUUUGGAUACUGUGGGGCGAUUGGGCAGAAAGUUUACAGCAGUGGUCCUUUCCACUGCCAGGCAGAUUUUUAAAUGUUCAUAUUACUAAGCUCUGCCACUCAGUGUUGCACCCUUUGUAUGGAGCAAAACAAGAAGGAGACUAUAAAACUUAAGCGUGACCUCAACCACAUAAAAGAGAAAUGAAAUAGUUUGUUACACAUCUGAGCAGUCAUACUGGCAAAGCAUUUACAUGCUGGGAUUAGAAGAAUACAUGUCUGUGCACAUGAGUAACAGAUAAUUUUCAAAUUCCUGUAUGUGGGGGAGAUAAUGGUGCAUUCUUCAUGGCACUCAGACAUGUUUGCACAUGCUUGGUCUGCUCCUAGAGCACGAGUUACCUGAGAGGUUGGGGAAGUUUCUGGAGACAUUGCGAGGGAAAGCCUACUCCACCUACACGUCCUUCACUCAGAAUAAGUAUGCUCUUAAUUAUGUCUCAUUUCCUUGUGUGUAUCAGGCCUGACAGAUCCUGAAAUGUCUAGGGAAGAUGGAAACCUUUGAGUAGAGAUGAGAACAAAAGAUUACACUCAAAGCCAGACAUAAGAAGGCAAGGCAGUGCUACUCUCAGUGCACGCAAGAGCAGGGGACAUAGAAGGAAUUUUCAAGUAUCCUAUUAAAUUAGGCUUCCAGACAAAUCGGCUUCAGCCUGUGCUCCUCAACCAGGCAGUGCUGAGCUUACAUAGAUAAGGAUAGUCAGACUCUGCCGUUGUUUUGCUGUUAGGAAGAAGAAGAAGAAGAAGAAGAAGAAGUGAUGUCUAAGGCAGGAUUUGUAUUCCUGCACAAAACAUCAUGACCAAGAAGCAAGAUGGGGAGGAAAAGGGUUUAUUUAGCAUACACUUCCAUAUUGCUGUUCAUCACCAAAGGAAGUCAGGACAAGAACUUACACAUGACAGGACCUUGUAGGCAAGAGAUGAUGCGGAGGUCAUGGAGGGAUUCUGCUUACUAAUUGCUUUCCCUGGCUUGCUCAGCUUGCUUUCUUAUAGAACCCAGAACUAUGAGCCCAGGGAUAGUGCCACCUACAGUGGGCUCUCCCUGUUCAUUAAUGAAGAAAAUGUCUUUCAUGGGAAUCUCAUGGAGACAUUUCCUCAAGAGAGGAGGCUCCUUUCUCUGUGAUAACUUCAACUUUUGUCAAGUUAACACAGACACAGACAAAAUGAACCAGCCUGUACAACUGACCCCUUGUCGACUUGACACAGAAACACAUUACUAUUAAGCCUUAACCCUUACUUUCGGAUCCAUUCUCAAGAUCUAAAUAACUUUUAAAACAUCCCAUAGUUUAUAUAAAUUCUUGCAUAUUAAAACUUUAUUCUCUUUAAAAUAUGCAUUCUCUUUUGAAAUUCAAAGACAUUUUACAAUUCAGAGCCUCUUUUUUAAUUUGAGGUUAAUAACAGUCUGUUUAUUUAUCGCAGUAACUGGAAGUACAGAUUUAAUCCUUUGUUAGCAAAGCAAGUGUGUACAGCAUUGUCUCCUCAGUGCACUGGUAUUACAUCUAGCAUAGCCAAACUGAAUUCCAAAGCAGAAGUACAUAACCAUUGGUUAUUUAAACACCUAAUAAAUACAGUACACAAAGCCAGUAGUCUUCCUUCUCUGUAAAACCUCUAAGUGCCUUUAUUUCACCAUUUUUAUUAGCUCUGUAAUUGUUUAUAUUCCUGGUUUUAAAAUCCAAAAUAAAUAGUGGUAUUCUCUCUUUUAUCUUGUGUUUGUGUCUUCAUUGUUAGACAACAUUUAUCAAGUGUCCUGUUAUUUUCAUUAGGAGUGUGCCACAGACACUAAAUUUCUUCACUGCAUUCAGUGGUUUGGGCAACCUCAUAGGCAGGCUAACAGAGAGAUGAGUUGCUUCUGAGACUUUAAGGCUGGAGACCCAUUCUUGCACUUACAAUGCUGGUUUCCUGGCCCUGAACUUCACCACAACCCACUUCUUCCUCCCAGUUCAACACAGUUUUUGUCAUCCUUCCCCUGGGAUCACAGCUCAGGGAGACCACAUAGGCACGCACAAGGGUUGAUGAACUCCAGCAGCAUAGAACAUGGAAACACUUAGGGUCUUAGGAUGUAGAGAUGGAGAGUGGUGGCAUAAAAUCCCAUACCAAAAUGAGGAGGUUCAGAGACAACUUCCAACAAGACGUGGGGGACUUCUUGGAAGAAGGGGAUUUCAAAAGUUUGAGUUAAAGAAAGUGAAAGGUAUGACUGGUAGUGGAGAAGAGACAGCAACAUGAUGAUUUAGAAGAAAGUUGCGAGACAGAGCAGGCUUGGAACAGGUGACAAAGAGGAUGUGAGGGAGAAUGGGGGUGCUCAAAGGCUUUCUUCCUUGGGAAACUUCUUGCUUUAGCAAGGCCUUGUCUGUGUGGUUCAGCAUGGCUUCAUGAAAGUUAACACGUUGGUUUCACCUUUAGGACUAAAGGGCUACUAGAAAUAAUUUGGCUUUUCUAAGACUUUCUAUAUCAGUGUACCAUGAAACUGGCAUGUUCUAGAAAUGGUUUUGUCAUUGCAGAUUGCAAAACAAGCCCCACUGGCACAGACAGAGGUGGAGCUCACUGACGCUGAUCUCUGUAGGCCUUGCAUGCAGUUCUUAAAGAAAAUGCAAAGACCCUGUGACUGCAAUUCUUGUGUGAGUGCUAGGUAGUGGUGUGGGCUUCUAUUUUGGAUGUGUGCUGUAGAGUACUUUAAUUUUUAAAUUAAGAGUGCUAUAAUUUUUUCAAUUAAACUGCUUUAAAAUAAAGGUGAAUGGAAAAUGGGGUUUUUAGCUCUGUCUUUGGAUUCUCUCUCUACUCCGUGUCUGCUGUCUCCCUCUUCAUCUCUGAUUUUGUUCAUUUGCCUACAAAUAUAUCAAUCGUGUUAAUCUUUUCAGAGAACCAAGUCUUUAUUUCAUUAAUUUUUUGUAUGGAUAUUUUCUUUUUUACUUCAUUAAUUUGAGGCCUGAAUUUUUUGAUACUUCUUCCUAAUAUUAUUUUGUACGUAGUCUUUCUUCUAGGGUCUUCAAAUUCAUCUUUAGACUAUUUGAGAGCUCCAUUUUUUUUUUUAUUAACUUGAGUAUUUCUUAUAUACAUUUCGAGUGUUAUUCCCUUUCCCGGUAUCCGGGCAAACAUCCCCCUCCCCCCUCCCCUUCCUUAUGGGUGUUCCCCUCCCAACCCUCCCCCCAUUGCCGCCCUCCCCCCACCAGUCUAGUUCACUGGGGGUUCAGUCUUAGCAGGACCCAGGGCUUCUCCUUUAGUCUUCUCCUUUAGUUCAUCUUUAGACUAUUUGAGAGCUCCAUUUUUUUAAACUAACUUUUUUCUCCAUCUUUAUUAAAUUGGGUAUUUCUUAUUUACAUUUCAGUUGUUAUUACCUUUCCCAGUUUCCAGGCAAACAUCCCCUAACCCCUCCCCCUCCUCUUCUAUGUACUUGUUCCCCUCCCCAUCCUCCUCCCAUUACUGUCCUCCCCCCAACAAUCCCAUUCACUGGGGGUUCAAUCUUGGCAGGACCAAGGGCUUCCCCUUCCACUGGUGCUCUUACUAGGAUAUUCAUUGCUACCUAUGAGGUCAGAGUCCAAGGUCAGUCCAUGUAUAGUCUUUAGGUAGCGGCUUAGUCCCUGGAAGCUCUGGUUGCUUGGCAUUGUUGUUCAUAUGGGGUCUCAAGCCCCUUCAAGCUCUUCCAGUCCUUUCUCUGAUUCCCUCAACGGGGGUCCCAUUCUCAGUUCAGUGGUUUUCUGCUGCCAUUCGCUAUGUAUUUGCUAUAUUCUGGCUGUGUCUCUCAGGAGAGAUCUACAUAUGGUUCCUGUAAGUGUGCACUACUUUGCUUCAUCCAUCUUAUCUAGUUUGGAGGCUGUAUAUGCAUGGGCAACAUGUGGGACAAGCUCUGAAUGGGUGUUCCUUCAGCCUCUGUUCUAAACUUUGCCUCCCUAUUCCCUCCCAAGGGUAUUUUUGUUCCCCUUUUAAAGAAAGUGAAGCAUUCGCAUUUUGGUCAUUCUUCUUGAGAUUCAUGUGCUCUGUGCAUCUAGGGUAAUUCGAGCAUUUGGGCUAAUAUCCACAUAUCAAUGAGUGCAUACCAUGUGUGUUUUUGUGUGAUUGGGUAACCUCACUCAGGAUGAUAUUUUCCAGUUCCAUCCAUUUGCCUAUGAAUUUCAUAAAGUCAUUGUUUUUGAGAGUGGAAUAUUACUCCGUUGUGUAGAUGUACCACAUUUUCUGUAUCCAUUCCUCUGUUGAAGGACAUCUGGGUUCUUUCCAGCUUCUGGCUAUUAUAAAUAAGGCUGCUAUGAACAUAGGGAAGCAUGUGUCUUUGUUAUUUAUUGGAGCAUCUUUUGGGUAUAGCUGGGUCCUCAUGAAGUGCAAUGUCCAAUUUUCUGAGGAACCUCCAGACUGAUUUCCAGUAUGGUUUUACCAGUCUGCAAUCCCACCAACAAUGGAGGAGUGUUCCUCUUUCUCCACAUCCUCGCCAGCAUCUGUUAUUGCCAGAGUUUUUGACUUUAGCCAUUCUGACUGGUGUGAGGUGGAAUCUCAGGGUUGUUUUGAUUUGCGUUUCUCUUAUGACUAAAGAUAUUGAACAUUUCUUUAGAUGUGUUCAGCAUUCCUCAGCUGUGAAUUCUUUGUUUAGCUCUGAACCCCAUUUUUUUCGAUAUUUUUUUUAUUAACUUGAGUAUUUCUUAUAUACAUUUCAAGUGUUAUUCCCUUUCCUGGUAUCCGGGCAAACAUCCCCCUCCCCCCUCCCCUUCCUUAUGGGUGUUCCCCUCCCAACCCUCCCCCCAUUGCCGCCCUCCCCCCACCAGUCUAGUUCACUGGGGGUUCAGUCUUAGCAGGACCCAGGGCUUCCCCUUCCACUGGUGCUCUUACUAGGAUAUGCAUUGCUACCUAUGAGGUCAGAGUCCAGGGUCAGUCCAUGUAUAGUCUUUAGGUAGUGGCUUAGUCCCUGGAAGCUCUGGUUGCUUGGCAUUGUUGUACAUAUGGAGUCUCGAGCCCCUUCAAGCUCUUCCAGUUCUUUCUCUGAUUCCUUCAACGGGGGUCCUAUUCUCAGUUCAGUGGUUUACUGCUGGCAUUCGCCUCUGUAUUUGCUGUAUUCUGGCUAUGUCUCUUAGGAGCGAUCUACAUCCGGCUCCUGUCGGUCUGCACUUCUUUGCUUCAUCCAUCUUGUCUAAUUGGGUGGCUAUAUAUGUAUGGGCCACUUGUGGGGCAGACUCUGAAUGGGUGUUCCUUCAGUCUCUGUUUUAAUCUUUGCCUCUCUCUUCCCUGCCAAGGGUAUUCUUGUUCCCCUUUUAAAGAAGGAGUGAAGCAUUCACAUUUUGAUCAUCCGUCUUGAGUUUCAUUUGCUCUAGGCAUCUAGGGUAAUUCAAGCAUUUGGGCUAAUAGCCACUUAUCAAUGAGUGCAUACCAUGUAUGUCUUUCUGUGAUUAGGUUAGCUCACUCAGGAUGAUGUUUUCCAGUUCCAACCAUUUGCCUACGAAUUUCAUAAAGCCGUUGUUUUUGAUAGCUGAGUAAUAUUCCAUUGUGUAGAUGUACCACAUUUUCUGUAUCCAUUCCUCUGUUGAAGGGCAUCUGGGUUCUUUCCAGCUUCUGGCUAUUAUAAAUAAGGCUGCAAUGAACAUAGUGGAGCACGUGUCUUUUUUAUAUGUUGGGGCAUCUUUUGGGUAUAUGCCCAAGAGAGGUAUAGCUGGAUCCUCAGGCAGUUCAAUGUCCAAUUUUCUGAGGAUUCUCCAGACUGAUUUCCAGAAUGGUUGUACCAGUUUGCAAUCCCACCAACAAUGGAGGAGUGUUCCUCUUCCUCUACAUCUUCGCCAGCAUCUGUUGUCCCCUGAGUUUUUGAUCUUAGCCAUUCUCACUGGUGUGAAGUGAAAUCUCAGGGUUGUUUUGAUUUGCAUUUCCCUGAUGACUAAAGAUGUUGAACAUUUCUUUAGGUGUUUCUCAGCCAUUCGGCAUUCCUCAGCUGUGAAUUCUUUGUUUAGCUCUGAACCCCAUUUUUUAAAUAGGGUUAUUUGUUUCCCUGCGGUCUAACUUCUUGAGUUCUUUGUAUAUUUUGGAUAUAAGGCCUCUAUCUGUUGUAGGAUUGGUAAAGAUCUUUUCCCAAUCUGUUGGUUGCCGUUUUGUCCUAACCACCGUGUCCUUUGCCUUACAGAAGCUUUGUAGUUUUAUGAGAUCCCAUUUGUCGAUUCUUGAUCUUAGAGCGUAAGCCAUUGGUGUUUUGUUUAGGAAAUUUUUUCCAGUGCCCAUGUGUUCCAGAUGCUUCCCUAGUUUUUCUUCUAUUAGUUUGAGUGUGUCUGGUUUGAUGUGGAGGUCCUUGAUCCACUUGGACUUAAGCUUUGUACAGGGUGAUAAGCAUGGAUCGAUCUGCAUUCUUCUACAUGUUGCCCUCCAGUUGAACCAGCACCAUUUGCUGAAAAUGCUAUCUUUUUUCCAUUUGAUGGUUUUGGCUCCUUUGUCAAAAAUGAACCCCAUUUUUAAUAGGGUUACUUGUGUCCCUCCAGUCUAACUUCAUGAGUUAUUUGUAUAUUUUGGAUAUAAGCCCUCUAUCAGUUGUAGGAUUGGUAAAGAUCUUUUCCCAAUCUGUUGGUCGCCGUUUUGUCCUAACAACAGUGUCCCUUUCCUUACAGAAGCUUUGUAGUUUUAUGAGAUCCCAUUUGUCAAUUCUUGAUCUUAGAGCAAGAGCCAUUGGUGUUUUUUUCAGGAAAUUUUCUCCAGUGCCCAUGUGUUCAAGACUCUUCCCCACUUUUUCUUUUAUUAGUUUGAGUGUACCUGGUAUGAUGUGGAAGUCCUUGAUCCACUUGGACUUAAGCUUUGUACAGGGUGAUGAGCAUGGAUCAAUCUGCAUUCUUCUACAUGCUGACCUCCACUUGAACCAGUACAAUUUGCUGAAAAUGCUAUCUUUUUUCCAUUGGAUGGUUUUGGCUCCUUUGUCAAAAAUCAAGGGACCAUAGGUGUGUGGGUUCAUUUCUGGGUCUUCAUUUCUAUUCCACUGGUCUAUCUGUCUGUCUCUGUACCAAUACCAUACAGUUUUUAUCACUAUUGCUCUGUAAUACUGCUUGAGUUCAGGGAUAGUGAUUCCCCCUGAAGUCCUUUUAUUGUUCAGAAUAGUUUUAGCUAUCCUGGGUUUUUUGUUAUUCCAGAUGAAUUUGCAAAUUGUUCUGACUAACUUUCUGUAGAAUUGGAUUGGUAUUUUGAUGGGGAUUGCAUUGAAUCUGUAGAUCACUUUUGGUAAAAUGGCCAUUUUUUACUAUAUUUAUCCUGCCAAUCCAUGAGCAUGGGAGAUCUUUCCAUCUUCUGAGAUCUUCAAUUUCUUUCUUCAGAGGUUUGAAGUUCUUAUCAUACAGAUUUUUCACUUGCAUGGUUAAAGUCACACCGAGGUAUUUUCUAUUAUUUGGAACUACUAUGAAGGGUUUUGUUUCCCUAAUUUCUUUCUCAGCUUGUUUCUCUUUUGUGUAGAGGAAGGCUACUGAUUUAUUGGAGUUAAUUUUAUACCCAGCCACUUUGCUGAAGGUGUUUAUCAGAUUUAGUAGUUCUCUGGUGGAACUUUUAAGAUCACUUAAAUAUAUAUUUACAAAUAGUGAUAUUUUGACUUCUUCCUUUCCAAUCUGUAUCCCUUUGAUCUCCUUUUGUUCUCUGAUUGCUCUGGCUAGGACUUCAAGAACUACAUUGAAUAAGUAGGGAGAGAGUGGGCAGCCUUUUCUAGUCACUGAUUUUAGUGGGAUUGCUUCAAGUUUCUCUCCAUUUAGUUUAAUGUUAGCGACUGUUUUGCUGUAUAUAGCUUUUACUACGUUUAGGUAUGGGCCUUGAAUUCCUGUUCUUUCCAGGACUUUCAUCAUGAAGGAGUGUUGAAUUUGUCAAAUGCUUUCUCAGCAUCUAAUGAAAUGAUCAUGUGGUUUUUAUCUUUCAGUUUGUUUAUAUAGUGGAUUACGUUGGUGGUUUUCCCUAUAUUAAACCAUCCCUGCAUGCCUGGGAAGAACCCUACUUGAUCAUGAUGAAUAAUCGUUUUGAUGUGCUCUUAGAUUCGGUUUGCAAGAAUUUUAUUGGGUAUUUUUGCAUCGAUAUUCAUAAGGGAAAUUGGUCUGAAGUUCUAUUUCUAUGUUGGGUCUUUGUGUGGUUUAGGUAUAAGAGUAAUUGUGGCUUCAUAGAAAAAAUUCGGUAGUGCUCCAUCUGUUUCAAUUUUGUGGAAUAGUUUGGAUAGUAUUGGUAUGAGGUCUUCUUUGAAGGUCUGAUAGAAUUCUGCACUGAACCCAUCUGAACCUGGGCUCUUUUUUCUUUGGAGGCCUUUAAUGACUGCUUCUAUUUCUUUAGGAUUUAUGGGGUUGUUUAAAUGGUUUAUCUGAUUUAACUUCAGUACCUGGUAUCUGUAUAGGAAACUGUCCAUUUCCUGUAGAUUUUCAAGUUUUGUUGAAUAUAGACUUUUGUAGUAGGAUCUGAUGAUUUUUUGAAUUUCCUCUGAUUCCGUAGUUACGUCUCCCUUUUCGUUUCUGAGUUUGUUAAUUUGGAUACACUCUCUGUGUCCUCUGGUUAGUCUGGCUUAGGGUUUAUCUAUUUUGUUGAUUUUCUCAAAGAACCAGCUUUUGGUUCUGUUGAUUCUUUGUAUAGUCCUUUUUUUUCUACUUGGUUGAUUUCAGCUCUGAGUUUGAUUAUUUCCUGCCUUCUACUCCUCCUGGGUGUAUUUGCUUCUUUUUGUUCUAUAGCUUUUAGGUGUGCUGUCAACCUGGUGAUAUAUGCUCUCUCCUGUUUCUUUCUGCAGGCACUCAGAGCUAUGAGUUUUCCUCUUGUCACAGCUUAUAUUGUGUCCCAUAAGUUGGGAUAUAUUGUACCUUCCUUUUCAUUAAAUUCUAAGAAGUCUUUAAUUUCUUUCUUUAUUUCUUCCUUGACCAGGUUAUCAUUGAGUAGAGCAUUGUUCAAAUUCCCUGUAUAUUUGGGCGUGCUUCCCUUAUAGUUAUUGAAGACCAGCCUUAGCCCGUGGUGGUCUGAUAGGAUGCAUGAGAUUAUUUCUAUCUUUCUGUAUGUGUUGAGGCCUGUUUUAUGACCCAUUGUAUGUUGAAUUUUGGAGAAAGUACCAUGAUGUGGUUAGAAGAAGGUAUAUCUUUUUGUUUUAGGAUAGGAUGUUCUAUAAAUAUCUGCUAAGUCCAUUUUUUUCAUGACUUUUCUUAGUCUGUCUAUGUGUCUGUUUAAUUUCUGUUUCCAUGAUCUGUCCAUUGAUGAGAGUGGGGUGUUGAAAUCUCCUGCUAUUAUUGUGUGAGGUGCAAUGUGUUCUUUGACCUUUAGUAAGAUUUCUUUUAUGUGUGUAGGUGCCCUUUUAUUUGGAGCAUAGAUAUUUAGGAUUGAGAGUUCAUCUUGGUGGAUUAUACCUUUGAUGAAUAUGUAGUUCCUUCCUUAUCUUUUUUGAUGACUUUUGGUUGAAAAUCAAUUUUACUCAAUAUUAGAAUGGCUACUCCAGCUUGCUUCUUCCAACCAUUUGCUUGGAAAGUUGUUUUUCAGCCUUUCGCUCUGAGGUAGUGUCUGUCUUUGUCUCUGAGGUGUGUUUCCUGUAGGCAGCAGAAUGCUGGGUCCUCCUUGCAUAUCCAGUUUAUUAAUCUGUGUCUUUUUAUUGGGGAAUUGAGUCCAUUGAUGUUAAGAGAUAUUAAGGAAUAGUGAUGUUGCUUCCUGUUAUCUUUAUAUUUGGAGAUGAGCUCAUGUUUGUGUGCCUGUCUUCUCUUUGUUUUGUUGCAAAACGAUUUGUGUCUUGCUUUUUCUAGGGUGUAACUUGCCUCCUUGUGUUGCUCUUUACCAUUUAUUAUCCUUUGUAGGACUGGGUUUGUAGAAAAGAUAUUGUGUAAAUUUGGUUUUUUCAUGGAAUAUCUUGCUUUCUCCAUCUAUGUUAAUUGAGAGUUUUGCUGGAUAGAGUAACCUUGGCUGGCAUUUGUGUUCUUUUAGGGUCUGUAUGACAUCUGUCCAGGGUCUUCUGGCUUUCAUAGUCUCUGGUGAGAAGUCUGGUGUAAUUCUGAUAGGUCUUCCUUUACUUGACCUUUUUCCCUUACUGUUUUUAAUAUUCUUUCUUUGUUUUGUGCAUUUGGUGUUUUGACUAUUAUGUGAUGGGAGGAGUUUCUUUUCUGGUCCAAUCUAUUUGGAGUUCUGUAGUUUUCUUGUAUGUUUAUGGGCAUCUCUUUAUUAUGGCAGUUUUCUUCUAUGAUUUUGUUGAAGGUAUUUACUGGUCCUUUGAGCUGGGAGUCUUCACUCUCUUGUAUAUCUAUUAUCCUUAGGUUUGAUCUUCUUAUUGUAUCCUAGAUUUCCUGUAUGUUUUGGGCCAGUAGCUUUUUCCGUUUUACAUUAUCUUUAACAGUUGUGUCUAUAAUUUCUAUGGAAUCUUCUGCUCCUGAGAUUCUCUCUUCUAUCUCUUGUAUUCUGCUUGUGAUGCUUGUAUCUACGACUCCUUGUCUCUUUCUUUGGUUUUCUAUAUCCAGGGUUAUCUCCCUUUGUGCUUUCUUUAUUGCUUCUAUUUCCAUUUUUUAUUCCUUUAGCUGUUGGAUUGUGUUUUCCUGGAAUUUUUUCAGGGAUUUUUGUGAUUCCUCUCUAUAGGCUUCUACUUGUUUAUUUAUGUUUUCCUGCAUUUCUCUAAGGGAGUUCUUCAUGUCUUUCUUGAAGUCCUCCAUCAUCAUGAUCAAAUGUGAUUUUAAAUCUAGAUCUUGCUUUUCUGGUGUGUUCAGAUAUUCAGUGUUUGCUUUGGUGGGAUAAUUGGGCUCUGAUGAAGCCAUGUAGUUUUGGUUUCUGUUGCUUGGGUUCCUGUGCUUGCCUCUCGCCAUGAGGUUGUCUCUGGUGUUACCUUGUUCUGCUAUUUCUAACAGUGGCUAGACCAUCCUAUAGACCUUUGUGUCAGGAGUGCUGUAGACCUGUUUUCCUGUUUUCUUUCAGCCAGUUAUGGGAACAGAGUGUUCUGCUUUCAGGCGUGCAGCCUUUCAUGUCUACUGGUCUUCAGCUCUUCGUGUGGGUGUGUGUCCUGAGUCCACCAGGCAAGUCACUUGGAGCAGAAAAAUUGUUCUUACCUCUGGUCUCGGGCCUGAUGUUGCUCCUGAUGGCUGCGUUUCAGCUCUCUGUGAGACCAGCAGUUAGAAAUGUCUAGACCGCCUUUUUUGGGUCCCUGUGCACAGGGGACCCAGAUGGCGCUAGGCAUUUUCCUCUAGAGUCAGAAAUGUGGUCAGAGAGUAGUCUCGUCUGGCUUCCCAGGUGUGUUUGCCCCUCUAAAGGUUUAGCUCUCCCUCCCAC